rnacentral:lncRNA from 1 species
UUUUGGUGUUGAAGGACAAAGUUUCCGGUGUCAUUCAUGACCCCGUUCGCAACAGUCCCCAAGGUUAUUUCGGAUUUCCAUGUCUCUCCACCCUGAGGAUUGUUAAGAACUAGUCCACUGUUGGCAGUCAAGUUCAGAACUGAUCCCCUAGGUGCAACCAUGGGGUUGUUACCGUCAUAUGCAUACCAAACUACGGUUUUGUCUGGGAUUUUCGCAUACCAUAUCGAAAGCAAGAAACGAUCAUUGUUUCCGAGGGGCGAAAAUCCAAACGCGAAAUCACCGGAUGGAGAAAGCCAUGAUGAGGAGUCGCCUGUAGUUGCAGUUAGAGAACUCCCAACUGCUACUGUUCCAUUAUUUUGGGAAAUCACAGAAAUUGGUAGCAAAAACAAAGAGGAGAACAAAAGCAUCUCUACAGAAAGAGCCACUGCCAUUGCAAAAGCACCAAUUUUUCAACUUGGCUUGAUUGAUUAGCUAUAUUUCUUAGUAAAGCAUUGGUCCUGGUUAUAUCUUUAAGUAAAUGUGUGUGCACCACGUGCCUGUCAUUUUCUAAGUUUUUGCCUGGAAUUAAAGGCGUCUACACCAUUUUUUGAAGUCACACACAACAAUAUCUCCGGGCCUACAGAAUAAAUUCUCCGAAACUACACAUAUCACAAGAAUUUCACUUUCAAAAAAAAUAAUAUAAUGAAUAGUUCUAUAUAUAAUAACACCGAGAUUUUUUGUGAUAGAACUUAUUGUCUCUUUCAACUCUUUGUAAUGUUGCAAGUUGUAACAAUAUUGAUGUAAUUAGUAAUGAUCCGUGACUUGUCUCUCUCAAAUCUCUUUUCAUCCUACUCUCAUCCCUCGUCUGUUUUAUGAUUCUACUGACUUAAGCACUUAUAAAUGUUCCAAAUCAGCAAAGGACUUGUAACUUAAAUAAUUAAUAAUAUUUAUCAUUACACUCGAGAUUCAUGACUCACGCUGCAUGUGUCGGCCAUUCAAGUCCACCAGUCAAAAUUCAACAAUGGGGACCACAAAGAAAAUUUGAAAAAGUACAUGCAGAUUGAGGACGGAUACAUAGAAAAUCUGAAAACAGACCUUCAGAACCAAACAAAGACGACUAACUAAGCCUUUAAGUCAAGUGAUAAGAGACUUUUUUUUUUUUUUUUUUUGAAGAAUAUAAGAGACUUAUAUCUUCACAAAAACAAAGACGACUAAGUCUCUAUUUCUGUAUUCACAAAAAAAAAGUACUAACCGAAGUUUUUAAUGUAUGAUUACGUCGUUGGGGUAAGACACCCGAGGCCGAGUUGAGAUAAUCACAGAAUCGAGAUCCUCUUCGAAUGUCACAGUCUGGCGCAAACGGACUUAGAGACCCGAACCACUCAUUUUAAAUCAUACGACCUUCAUUAGCUUAUCCUAUUGACCCACAUCACAUAAGGGGUCCGAAUCUCUCUCUCCCCUCUCUUGACCGGUUUGGAUAUCUCGGUCUAUCGAUUUUGGAUUGCGAGAUUCAGAGAGAAUCUGAUUUCGGGUUUGAGGUCUGGUUCGAUGACCAUUUGAAGCCCGUUGAGGCGUGGCCCAUCUCAUCAGGUCGGGUCAGCCAUUUCGUACCAAGUUGAAUCCCAGGUCAGGCCAGCCAUUUCAUUAGCCUAAGAUGGACCUGACGGACGAUGCGCUUGGAUAUUGCUUACUGCGACCAAAUGGACUCAUGGGCUCAUUAGAUGAUGAGUCUGGACCUGGUGUGUGUAAAGGCCACCUCAGCUCGAUCCAUAUUCGAUCGAUACUACAGAGAAGGUGGAUAUGAGGUAAAGGUAGAGUAAGCUCCAAGUCAUGUGGAGGUCAGUCGAGAUUGAACACACGUUCAUAGAAUCAUAGUAUCAAAUUCAAGUCAAAAUUUUAACACUACGAAACCGAAAAGCAUGCAACUCCGAAAAGCAUUGUUUCAGUCCAACAACCCAAACUUCCUUAAAAAACUAAGACCAAAACGACGACAUUAGGAAACGGAAAAUCAUGCAACUCAGAAAACCAUUGCUCUAGUCCAAAUGAGGUUCUUCAAUGCCUCAAGCUUUUCUAAACACCAUAGCCUGAACCUUUUCCUUUGCGCCUUCUUUACUUCACCAGAAACGUUCUUAAUGAGCUCUUCUUCAAAUUUGGGACGAGCAGGCAUUAGGCUGUGCACAAUGCUGUAAAUGCUCCUAGCCCUUGCCACACCCUAGGCGCAUACGCGUGCAUGUCCGACCUGAGUUAUCUCAUUACGCGCGCAGUUUGAUCUUCCCGUAUUGACAUCCCUGCUGUCUAUUCUCCUGCGAAUCCUUCUACUGGUGACUUCAUCCGGGUCCAUUUUCUUGCUCCUCAGUGCAUGUUCAUCUGCUUUUCCAUGUUAAUAGAUAUAGGAAUCCUAUGAGAAACAACAUUUGACAAAACAGAACCUAAUAAUAACAACAAAACUUGACUUCAUCCUCAGUGCAUGUUCAUCUGCUUUUCCAUUUCAAAGCAGCUGACGGCAUGAUUCGUACUUGGACUCCAAGAUGUCUAGAUUAUAGGGAAACCAGCCCUCUAUCCAAAACACACAAAGAAGUGUAUUUUCCGUUUAUACCAAUUAAGUGUGUUGAAGCAUGUCCCACAUGGCCACAUCGGAAACUUGUCGAAGCUUAAAUCCUCUUAUAUAGAAAGUUGAACUACUAAUGCCAUGAGGCCUUAAUUUUGUAUAAAACCAUACUUAUUGAAUUGCACACGUGCUUAAGUUAAGGUCAGUAUUGAUGGCAAUUAGUAGUGGGCCGCUGGGCCGUCUUAAAAAAACUGGUACAAAGGGCAAUUUAUAGAAGCAGUGUUGAGAUAAGGGCAAUUCACCUGUUCCUUUUAGAAGGAUAUAUACGAAUGAAGCAAGGUUUAUCUACUCACCCGUAAUGCGGCUCAGCCCUUCAUAAAAAAGUGAAAGAUCAAAAUUACUUUUACAGCAAGAGCAAUACCAGAAGAUGUAAUCUAAAUUAUUUAUAUUUGGUUCCCUUGAAAUCCUUUUGACUGCUUCAACAUACUAUAUGCAAACAGAACCAGAACCAAGUCCAGACUCACUCGUAAGAGGAAGUCCACCGGGGGUGGGAUAGGUCGGCACCCAAUGGAAAAAACAGGCUGAGACUCAGCCAAUCCACUCCAGCCCGUGGAAUCGACUGGCACCCAGCCCAAGCCAGUCCACAGGCCGACCUAAAAUUGACAGACCUUGGGACCGGCUCAAAUGACAACUAGCUGACGCCAGCGUGGUGUCGAGGGCAAGGAGCCACGGAGGCAAGGCAAAGACCAACUUCCCCACCCCCACUAAGCUCCAUCUCGACGCCGUCAACAUCGCCAACAUGAACAAUGCCGCCAAAUUAGCUGCGACGACGAACAUCAGCAACAGCCACAGCAGCACCGUGGAGUCCUCCUCCUUGCCGUCUCCGCGCCCGCUCGACCUCACUCUCAAAACCCCCCUCUUGUCCACCGACAGCGGCUACUUCACUGCUGCGAGCGGCUUCCGCCUGCUUCCCGCUUCCCGGGAAUUAUCCUUCCGCGAAAGAUCCCCCCGCGAAACUUGUAGGUUCGACCACCCCCCCUCCCCCACGAAACAUCCCCAUAUUUUCCUUCCGGACCAAGUUUGUUCCUCUUUUAUGUAAGAAACAAAAUCCCUGCCCAGCUUUAUAAUAAUUAAUUUAUAAUAAAAAAUAAAUAUUUUUAUUAUUUUAUAAUAAAAAUAAUAUUUUAAUAAAAUUGACUAGGCUAUUUUUUGUUAGGGAUAGAGAUGCAUUGGCCUAUUACUAUUCAUUAGAGUCUAUCGGGAAUGGAUAAAUGGGUUGGGUGCUGGCAUAAAGUCCUUAGAGGUGGACUUGCUCUAAUAGGUCUCCUCAUCCACAACAAUAUCCCAGCUUUCCCUUGUCGUGGUUUUCCCAUAUUUGUGCACCUUACUGCAAAGAGAGAGCAAGUUAACUUGUCAAAGAAAAACCAGAACAAUAGAUGCCAAUGCAGUUCAGAAAGCUUAUUUCCCUUCAUACCCAUUUCCAAAGUGCUCCUCCCCACGUCCUUGACCAACCUAGACAUGAGACAACAAAAACAAAGUUACAUCAGAUUAAAUUAUUGAAAGAAAAAGGUUCACUUCUGUUGUAACAAAUUGACAUUAGAAUCAAGCAACCACGCUAUGAAAUACAAAGUUAAAAUGUAACAAUUUACUGUGUCUUAAAGGAAUCUGUGAAAUAAAAUAGUUAAACCCUAAACAACACCACUGCAAAUUAGGGGUGGGCGCGGUUCAGUUUUGAUUGAAACCAAAACCAAAACCGCAAGUUUUUGCGGUUUGGUUCGGUGCGGUUUUGAAGCCAAAACCAAAAUGAAACCAAACCGUUUGGUUCGGUUCGGUGCAAUUUCAAACGGUUUCAGUUUGGUUUUUAAGAAAAAAUGUACGAUUUGCAAUUUAACAUAUUAAAAAGCAUUUCCCAAUAGUAAUAGGAAAAUGACAUUUGUUAUGUAAACAAUUAGCAUGUUGCAUGUAGUUGUGAUGUUAAAACAUGUUUGUGCAACAAAAAGGUGUCCCUUACAAUAUUUUUCAUAAAACAAGUUGAAUAAAUUUGAAUUCAUUAAACGUGAGCGAAAUUUUCAUACUAGAAUAUGUGAUAUCAUGCUUCAAAUGAGUGGCCUUUAGUAGAUCAUUGUUCGACUCUUGAUAACAAGAUUAGUCCACCCUUGUACAUAUAUGUGUGUGUGAUGGUAUAAAAUAACAAAGGUCAUUCAAGUUAAUGAACAAAAGAGAGUGAUGAAUGAUGAUAUUCUAGUGUGGUUGAGUCCAUACUAAGUGUAUGGAUUUUAACAAACGACCAAUUAAAACAUGAAAUCUAAUAUGGACAUUUAAUUAAAUGUUUAUUAAUAUUUGCGGUGCGGUUUUCAAAAGCCAAAACCGAAACCAAACCGUUUUCUAUGUUGCGGUUCGGUUACAAAACCGAAACCGUUUCAAAACCGCAAAACCAAACCGUUCGGUGCGGUUCGAUUUGGUUCGUGUUUCGAUUUCGGUUUUCGGUUCUAAGUGCCCACCCCUACUGCAAAUAGCAUAAGAAAAUUAAAAUUAACCCUAAAGAAAUUGGGAGAGAAGAAUAUGAAAAGGGAAUACCUUUCGGCCCUUUGAGUUAUUGGAAAAAACCCAACAGAGCAAAAGAUAAGCAAAAAUACAGGAGGAAAGAAAAUAAAUUUUCAACUUGUAAGAUUCAUACGCGAACAUAUUGGCGGUCAAAAGCAUUUCGGAACUCAGAGCCAUCAAGCUUUUUGAUCUGCAUGGAAAUUAUUUAUGAAGUUUGAGAUUCUUAUAGACGCUUUAGACACAUCGACAUAUUGAAAAAGCAAUAUUCAACAACCUAGUACCCAUGCUCCAUGAAAGGUUACAGAAAAUAUGAAUGACUGGACUCUGGAGUGAGAAAGUAAAAGGACUUACCGCAUACUUCAUAUCUUCUAAGUUUGUGUAGUCUACAAUCCCUGUUGUGCCUACAAAAAAGGCAUAGGACAAAAGCUAAAUCAAUCGAAAUUCUGAUGUCUCAUGAUCUAGGUCGUAGGAUUAAACUACUGAAAUAACACUAUAUGAAAUAGCAGUGUAUAUCCCAAAAAAAGUCUGAAAUCUGGUUGAUAAUUGAAGAGUUCGAAGGGAUUUACCUUUGGAUUCUUUGGCUUUCAGAUGGAGUUUGCUUAUGUGUGGGGGAGAGAGGUGGAGCGGCUAGAGCUUGAGUAUGGAAGAGAUGAAAAAUGCAGAGAGCACCUGUUUUGGCUGAAGCAACUCACACACUCUGGACAAAUCUGCAAAUGUCUAAAAGGGGGAAAAUAUAAAAAGAAACCUUAACAACUGAAUUCAAAGAAACAUUAUUACAUUGUAAAUAACAUUUCACAAAAAAAAAAAAAAACUAAACUAAACUAAUUACACUCGGAUUGCAAUGCUAUCAUUUAAUAAUAGGAAUUCCCAUAACUUAGCAGAAGACCUGCAUCUGCAAAGGAUUCUUUAAAACCUAUUUUUUUUAACAACCCCGCACCUGCAACACAUCCAGGCAAGGUAAACCAAUAGCACCCUCAUGCUGAGCUCUUCUGUGCAUAUAUACCCCUUAUAAGUAAUCUUAAUCAAUCAGUUAUCAUGAAUAUAGUCAGUUAUCAUGAAUAUACAACUUAUAUUAAUUUUCUACAAUAUCCAACACACAAAUAUAACAGAAGAGGAAACUUUUACUUAAGCAGCACAAAAUGAUAUCCUCUGCAUUUCAUUCCAAAAUCCAUCACUCUUAUGUCUUUGCCUGCACAGUUUUUGCUCCAACAUAGCACACCAUGAUGAUAGCACUAUCAAUAAUUAAGACAUAAAGAAAGGCUAUCCUAGCUAGGUAUUAUCAUUGGAGUAAACCAACAACACCAUAAGUAAAGUAGCAGACCAAAUUUUUUCUAGAAUUGAUGUCUUAACAUGUUUAAGUAGCGAAAAGAUUACAACACAUUGGAUGUGUUAACACAUCCAUAAGCUAAUGACUCCCUCUCCAGUUUACCGCAUCAUUCUUAAUGUAUUCAACAAUGCAGCAGUAAUUAAAAGUCCUUGGAAAAUGCCAAGCUACUACAAUGACAUAACGAAAACUAUAUCUCACCAUACCCCCUUGUUGGCAUAGACAGCAUAUCCGUCCUUGUUCAGGGUGAAUCAUUAUCCUGAACUCAAUUAUCAUCAUCGUCGAGAAUGUCAAACUUUAAAUCAACCAUGCAUGGAACAAAACCUAGAAAUUAAACAAUUAUCAAAGCUUAUGAAGAAUGCUAAACCCAACUAAUUCGAAACAUAAAGUAACCCAAAAGAGAGAAAACUUAUAAAUUUUACAUAAAUUAUAAUCCUUAACAGAAGGAUGGAACAAAGCAUGUUCAUUCUUGAGAAUAGGUGUAAUUUUGCACAUUGCAUAUAUGUACAUUAAGGACGGUGGUAACAUACCUUGUAAUUUGUACAAAUUAGGAUUUUCAUUCAAAGAACCAUAAUAUACACAAUUACAAAAACAGUGAUACAAACUUGUUCUUCUCUUAAGGAAAUUACUCACAGUUGAAAUUCUGAAUGGACAAAGUUUUGGCAUCCCUUUCCGACUAUAUUUGAUUAACCUUUUUUUAAUCCAAUGAGUGCCUUCAUGAGAGAGAGAGAGAGAGAGAGAGAGAGAGAGAGAGAGAGAGAGGAAUAUUCGGUGAAAAGUAUUGCCAAAUCACACAGAGAUCAAAAUCUUGAAUAUAUAUGUUUAACCAUAUCAAAGUGAGUGUGUGAAAGGGUGUAGUCUGCAGAAAGGGCAACAUUUUCACUGCUAGAAAGUUGGAAACUAAACUUUUACACAGAUAUUGGAUUUUAUUAAUUCCCUCCGCGAAUUGAAAAGCAAAUUGUUCGAGUAAUGCAGGUAAAUUCGAUAUACAUAUGCGUUGAUCUAUGUAAGACGGUUAUAAGUUAUAACUGUAUCGUCUUAACACAAAAAAUGAUCAUAAAUGUAAGUGUCUGUAUUAUGGAAGUAAGGGACUUGCAGCAAUUGCUAUGAGCUCUAACAGCAGUCACUCCAAGUACCCUAUUAUGGAAGUAAGGGACUUAGUAAGGGACUUACAUCAAUUGCUAUGAGCUCUACCAGCAGUCUCUCAAAGUGGUGCAAGGGCUAAAAUUAUAAAUAAAAAGUAAUUUAAACAAUUUAACUUAAUAAAAUAUUGUAAUUUAAACAAUGCCUAUAUAUUCAAACAUCCCAAAACAGGAAUGAACUUCCAGAAAACAUGCGCAUGAAAAUAAACGGCAUUACUCACCCAUUGAGUUGGACCAUCAAACUAGAGCGUAAGAAGGAUCAUCAUGUACCUAUGAAACCCAAAGGAAAAUUUUAGCAACCCCAAAGCUUGUAUGCAAGCGUGAAUAAGUAUGCAUGUAUGAAUCUAUUCAUAGUGAAGAAGGCUACCUUAAGAAAUAUUUGCAUCUGCAGCUUCAUAUGGCCAUACAACAAAAAGCACCGCAUAUGAUAACAAACCCCAGCUGCACCACAAAAGGAAUAUGAUCUUCCUCUCAACUUGUAUUUGUAGUUGUUACUGUAACAUCUGCAGACAGCAUACAUAAGCACUGAUUCGAUAAUUCUAAAGGGAAAAAAGUCCUUAUUCGAUAAUGCACCAAAUCCUAUCCAAAAACCAAGUGGGUGCCAUAUCCCUAGAUUAACAGAGCAUCUUUCUUUGUUCCAAAACAAAUUGCAAUUGGCUUUGGUAAAGUAGAAAGAUUACCAGAUACCGACUCUGUUCCAUUAUUCGACUGUCCUUUUAGUUCUGUCUCUCAACAUGGGAAAUACAAUAAGACAGUAAAAACAAAAGUUAGUGAUGCUAUUACAUAGUGAAAGAAAAUAAGACAUUCACAUAUUGAUAGCUAUUUACUGUCCUUUCUCAUCAUAAUCUUGGCCCCUAUAUAUACAUAUAUUGAAUUUUGAAAGCAAUGAGAGAAAUAUACCUUUGGGGCGUCACCGCCAGAAGGGUGAGUGAGGGAUCUAAGAUGUUUAAGAGCAGGAAUUUUUAAGUAAUUUGUGUGAAAAAGUUGAAGAGCUUCGAACAUAGUGGAGUGGGUUGGCCUGGGCUAAAAUAAAGAGGAUGAACUCUAGAAAGUAGAAAAUGUUGUUGUUCAACCAAACUCAAAAGUAAAGAAACCAUAUGAUUAACAUAUAAAUAAGUUUUAUAUACCAAUGUUUACAUGUACGUUGUUUGAGAAGGUAAAUUAGCAACAUAUACAGUGAUCAAAAGAUUAACAGCAAUAAACUGCUCAUUAUUCGAAAUAUACAAGAAAGUUGUCAUUCACAUGAUCCAAAUGGCAGAGGACAAAACAGAAGGAAGCAAAUAUUAUAGCAGCAUAAGUUGAAUAAUUGCAGCAAGUAAACAAAUAGAAAGGCUAGCUAGAUUACACAAUCCAGUUCUAGGUCGGACUAACCAUGUUAGCCAUCCGCCCACCACCAGCACCGUCGGCUUCUUAUUAAAAAUGUAGAAUAGAAGACUAAAAAAUUGGAAAUGAAAGCAGGUAACAUUGAGUUUUAAUAACCAAAAAGGGACACUGUUUAAGCAGCUCCACAACAGCAAUAAUACUUGGAUGAUGACCUGCAAAAACAGAAAAGAAAACACAAAUUAAACUAAAAAAAUAUAAAAUUUAACACUAAUCCAAGGAUUAAAUAUCAAAUAUAAAUUCAUUAGGAUUGGGACCUUUGCAUUGAGGAAUAUCUACUACAUUAUGAGUUCCCUCUUGAUAAAGCCCAAUCAGGGGGUUUUUCGAUGAGCCAAGAACGGCUAACUUUGCGUGACACCGCCAUCCCCACUAACACCAAACCCAGAUAAUAUCAAGAUCAAAACUAACCAAUACCAGAAAGAUUUUUUUAUUUAAAUUUUAAGAAAAGACCUAAACUUUACGAAAUUAAGGGGGAAAACAAAGUUAAGUAAAGCACCAAUUUGCAACUGUCAAAAGUGAAAUAUGAGACUCCAACUGUCUAGAAGAACUCCGUGGCCUCAUCGACGAUGACCGGAUGGUGGAGAUUGAACUGGUGCGUACACCCGAAACACCUGAUUAUACACCGAACAGAGAACAAAAUUUAAAUCAAGUCGAACAAUAAUUAUGAGAAAAUAAACUAAAAGGGAUUUGAGCUGAGAGUUACGAUUCGAAGUGCGGGCAAUGGAGGGUGCAGGUUAGCGGCGGCAGAGAAGGGGUUGAGCUUGGGUUCAGGUCCGUUUUAGGAGGUGGAGGCUCUUGAUAGAAGAUUGGCAUUGGAGUCGUUUUACAAAUCAGUUUCUUCCUGAACAUCCUAAUGUCAGCUUCUAGAGUUUCCUGUAAAAGAACAGACAACAUUCAUAAUAAGAAAAUCUCUCUAUGCAAUCGCAGAAAUCCCUCGGGUUUCAGGAAGCAAAUGGAAAAUGAAAUGCUUUUCUCCCGUAUCUCUCUCUCUCACCUCUGUCCCAUCUCUCUGUCUCCAAAUCGCAGAAAAGAAACCCUAAACAAAUCCCUGAAAUCCCUCGCCUAAAUCCUCCUACAUUUCUCUCGGACAACCCCCUCUUUCUCUUUGCAAACCCUAAACCAAAUCUCCUAAAUCCUAUCUCAGGCACCACACAUACAGCCAAGAAGCCAAGAUAUUAAAGCAAUCUCUAUAUAAUACUUUGGAACAAUGAAGAAAAAUGGUACUUACUUGUUCCUUGUCCAAAACAGUUGGUGCCGCCGCACAUUGUUAUCAAUUGUGGGUUGAUCAAAUCCUUCAUGGCUUAGACUGCAUGAAGAAUUAGAAACUAAAAGAUGAAUAUAUGCCGUAAAUCAUCAUAUAAAUGUAACUGCAUUUAAAAAAAGAAGGGAAUGACAAAAUUGAAUUCUAUUUCAUCAGUAUGUAACUGCAUGAAAAGUUACUUUGAAUGAAGACUCGAUCAAUUUCCCCAAAGUCAUUGUUAACUGAAAAUCAAUAUCAAACCCAUAAAUACCACAUUGAAUUUGACCAAGUUAAAGGAUAAAGGCAGUCGCAUCAUCGUAUUACUCUUUGGGAAGAUCUUCUAAUAAUGGUUCUUCCUUUUUCUUGCUCUUCCUCAGAACUGCCAUAAAAACCCCAGAGAAGCAUACAAAUUCAGAAAAGAAAAGGUUCAAAACUGCCAUAAAAAAAAUCCAGAAAGCAUACAAAUUUAUCAGAAAGAAAAGUUCAAAUUACAAAUACCAAAUGAUGUGAGUGAGUAGUGAGAGGUUGUGUUAGGCACCUGAAACACAUUUUGGUUUCAAUUGAAAGGGCCAGAGACAACAUCCACAUUCUUUUUUCUUGGGUGAACUAACCAAAUCAUAUUAUAUACUAAAAUGACAUAAAAAAUCAUUCACAAACUCACAACAAAAUAGAACAAAAAGAUUCACAAAAGAUUUGGGAGUUGAGACGCUAACAAAAACAUUUCUUUUCUAAACAAAUACACAACCGCUAAUCUGGGUUUGGUCAAUUUAACUAAAACGGUGCGCUAUUUUGCAUCUAAAUAUAGUAUAUCGCUUAAAUAAAAUUAAUAAAAAAUACACAUCCAAAGCUUUUAGUCCAAAGCUAGAAUUAGGAAUAACUGAGGAAGUUAAUGAAGGCAAAGCAGAGGGUAGGAUGCAGAACAUACCAAGAGACCAGUAGGCCAUCGGGGCCGGUCUGCCGAUGAACGCUGUGUACUGGUCGACAACGCCCAACGGAGUCGGCGCAGAAAAAAAGUAAAAGUCGAAACCACCCCCAAUGACUUUGUAGGUGAGAGAAGUCCCUAUGUAGAACACAUUCAUGCCAUUGCUGUUGAGCAGCAGAACGCAGUGCGCGUAAGCCUCGUUGCCCACAUUCCGGAGAUCCAUGUAAACUGGGUGGGACCCGUACAAAUCAGUGUUGAGAUUGAUCGCCGAGAAGUCAGUGGUGAAGAUGAUGUAUGGAUCGUUCGGGUAGAGCUUGAUCCCGUGCGGCUGAGAGUUCUCUUCGAGGCCGUACAAGGAGGAGUCUUUCGGCACUCGGGUGGAUAUCUUGAUGUCUGGUCCUUAAACACCAGUACUAGUCCAAUAAACCACUCCGCUUUUAUUGAUUUUCAAUUCAUGUUCAUUCGGGUCCCAAACAAGACUGAACGGCCCCGGAGCCGGGUUGUAGGUAUCUACAUAUGAUAUAAGUGCCCAGACGUGGCCAGCACUGCGGUUGACACCUAACUUCAUACCCGGUAAAAAUGUGUCUCCAGGAUAAUCACUUCAGCAGAUCGAGGGUGAUUUGAGGUGUUUUCCCGCUGAAUUGGACUUCGACCCAGGUAUGAAAGUUGUUCCUCUUAUCGAGAUCUUCAUUCAUGUAAAAUUUGGGAAUUUUAGAAUUGUUGAAUUCUUCGGCGAGUCAGGGCUACCAGCCGCCACGUGCUUCGGCGCGUGGCCCUUUGGCCGCCGUCCCAUGGCGGCUCGUGCGGUGAUGUAUGCAGGAAAACCUAAGGUUCCUCCUUAGGUUUUUCGAUGUACCAAACCCGAAUCCGCCGUCCUUUUUCCAAAAUUCUAACGUUUUCAUAGAGUUUUAUUAAACGACCUUUAAUUGUGUUUAGGUGCAUCGGUGGAAGUGACCUCAUUCUUGAUGGUUCGAGCGGCUUUCGGGCAAUGGAAAACUUGUGAGUAGACCCCUUCUAAACUUAUAUAUUGUUAUAAAAUAUUAGCCUAGCAUGCAUUCCAUAUUUCAUGAUUUGAAUAUGAUUUAUAAUAUGCUUUAUGGACUUUUAAUUAUGGUUUACGAAAUAGUUUGAUUUAUCGAAAUUACGUUUUAUUAGGUAUUGAAUUAUUGGAUUUGCAUAUAUGGAUUUCUAUGGUUUUCAAAUACGAUUUAUAUUACGGUUUUACGAACAUGAAUUAUUUUAUGGAUUUCAUGAAUACAAUUUAUCUUGGAUUUAUGAGAUGAGACUUUGAGCUAGUGAGCUCCGGGUUUGAUAUGAGUUUUGAGAUAUGUUUUUGGUACUUAUCUAGUGGGUUAUCAUACAGCACAUCCGCACACCACGGGUAUAGAUGUGUAUGGCCAUAGGACACAGAUGAUGAGGAGGAGUAAGAUAUGAUAUAUUAUAUACCCCCAGUUCACUAUCGAAAGCAGUGUCAGAUAACCUCACUAGCCAUGGCUAGUGUCGGUAUGGAUGUUAUGCUAUUUCAUACAGCUUCACCUUCGGGUGAUAGACAGGUUAUUUAGCUUCACCGUCGGGGUGAUGGACAUGUACUACCUUCGGCCAACUAUGAUAGCCUUAGUUGAGCACUUCACUGACAAGAUUUACAAAUUUGCCUUCGGGCAACGACAUUUUCAUUAUCAAGCACUGGAUUUUACAUAUCUACCUUCUAAAUGGAUUUUCAUGGCAUGCUAGGGUUUUUCAUAAAGCCUAUAUGUAGUAUUAUAUAUGUUUUCAAAAUAAGGGGUUAUUAUGUUCAUAAAUAAAAUGUUUUCCUAUUAUUAGUAUUAUUAAUAUAAACUUUGGUCCACUCACCUUUUCAGUUUUUGCGCCUCCUCAGGAGUUAGGAUCGAGGCACAUGAUCCCGGCAUCAUGGCAUGUUGAUAUAGGUAUCCUUGAAUCUUCUCAGUGUAGGUAUCAUUCCCUUAUUCAUAUCUUUUUAUAGUGAUUCUUCCCUAUUAUUUCUAAUUAGUUGUAUGCUCUAAACACAUUCCUGCUUUGGUAAUCGUUAUAACUACUUAUCUUGUAAUUGUUUGCAUGUUUAAAAUGGUUUUGUCACCCUUGGGCGUGGGCUAGCACGUGCCUACCCUGGUAUGUUGGGAUAUCGGGGUUGGGGCGUGUCAAAGAUAGAGAGUGAAUUUCUAGCAGAUUCAAUGGUUGUCUACAUUUUAAAAAGAGCUUGCCGAAAAGAUUGAUUCAGAUGAAAUAACAAAGGAUUUCAAUUCCAUUAAGGAUUGAAGGGCACAACUUGAAUAGGUAUUUUUCUUUUUAUUUGUUAGGUUGUUAUGACAAGAUUGACGAUGUAUGUUUCUUUAUAUUGUAAGUUGCAACUUUAAAGGUUUUCUUUGUUAAAUCUAGUUGAAACUUGAUUCAUUUAGAGUUAAAUUUCUUACUUCAAAUUGUUGCUUUUAGGCUUAUUAUUGUGUAACUUUAUGCAAGCAACAAAAAAUUUUAACCAUUUGAUUUUGUACUAAUAAUUUUAGCUUAGCAUGCCACCAAAUAAUUCAUGGCUCCGCUAUUGAAAUCUUAGCAUGUGCAAUUUCAAAGUCUCGGUUGCCAAGUCUCCCCAGGCUGUUCAGCACCCAUUCUGAAUCUUGAUCGAGAUCUAGAGCAGUGCAAGUCAAGGAGUCUUCAUUCUCAUUUGAAACAAUGCUAAAAUUAUACCUCAGCUUGGACUCCUUGGGCAAAAUAUACCCAAAUGUAUUAGUACUACUUGUGGAUACACCACUAGUCCAAAAAAAUCACCUCUCCUUUCUUAAUCUUCAAUUGGUGAGGGUCCCAAUCAAGCGUGAAAGGCCCCGGCGCACGGUUGGCUUUAGUUUCCCAUGAUGAAAUCCACGAAACAUGGCCGUUUGUACGGUUGACACCCAAUUUCAUGCCCGGUAAAAAGGUGUCAACUGGUAAUCAAAGCUUUACGUUCACUUCUUCUUGUACAAAAUUUCCCGAAUCCAAAAGGAUAGCCACAACAGUAGCAAUACUGUUACUUAUGUUGGUAGACCUAGUAGUUUGUGGAGCUGAGAAAAACGCAAUUGGAUUAGGAUCCCCCCCGCAUAAUUUUCAAGGUUUUAUUCCUGUCCAAGGCAAGAGUGCGUACAAAAUAGGGGCUUUACGGUUGCAAAUCCAAGCAAUGUUGCCAUCGGCCUUGUUGCUCUGGAUAGAUACGUAGCUGGUGCUUUUGGAACUGUCGUCGUGUACACAGGAACUGAAACUGAACUUCUCCGAUGCAGAGACCAAAGAAUUUGAGGAGUUGAGAGUGUCUCCUGCUGGUUUCAGUGUGUCCCUUGCAGGUCCACAGUCAGCAUGCAAAAAUGAUUAAGUUGAUUAUUGCCAUGAUUAAUUAAUGACCAUAACAUGAAGUUUAAUUUCUCCAUAUGAUGAGGAAGAAAGACAUGAAAUCCAUCACCAGAACAUGAUUAAGAAUUUAAUCAAGCAACGCGUCUCAGUUAAACCAUUACAAUCUUUGUACAAGGCAUUUAUAAAUUAAAAAAAAAGGGAAUAAAGUAAUAAUUACAAGUUUUACACAAGUGACCAUUUAUUACAAUGGUGGAAAGGUGUUAAGCUUUUGCAUGACGGUGUGAGUUCGAACCUCGUCGGUAGUUAAUCUACGAACCCCGUCGGUAGUUAAUUUAACUUCUAAUCUAAUAAAAUCUAUUUUUUGACCAAAAAAAAAAUAAUUACAAGUUUUACUAAAAAUUUAGGGGUGUGAUAUCCACACACCCCUUUUUACUUCUCUUACACCUUUUUUAUUUUCGACCGUCGGAUAUGAUGAAUUGAAGAAAAUCAACGGACAAAAAUUAACAAGGAAUGUGUGAGAAGUAAAAAGGGGUGUGUGGAUAGCACACCCCAAAAUUUAUCGGAAGACUUGAUCACCCAUUUGUAUGCUGACAACGGUGACUAGAUUCACAACCUCUUUCCCACGUAAAUCACAUCAUCCAAUUUUAUUUUUCUUACAACAUAUCACGUAUCUGUCAUAUGCAAGACUUUUUUUUUUUGUUUAACAUGAAAACGAAGACUUUUUUGGAAUAUGGAGAGUGAAAUUGCAGCGGAAGCAUCCUAGAUUUUUGAUCGAAUAUUGAGUUUGGUUUCAUGCCAGACUUCCUGGAUCAAACACACCCUAAAAAAAUAUAUAAAAAACCAAUAAGGUCAUGUGAUACGACAUCAUUUCAAGAGGAAAGGUACAAACAAUCUAGUUUCUAUACUAGGAAGAUUCACUCGAACAAAUUCUUGGAAACUAUGACUCAAACAAAAUUCUAGGAAUUCAGUAUUUUUAACAAAUGAUAAGCGUUUAAGAUAUAUUCUUUAUAAUAUUAGAGAAAUCGAACGGUUGAUCUAUAACUCGCAAAGUGGUUGUAGCUCAAGUAAUUUUACUCCCCAAUUUUACAUAAAACAUAAAAUAAAAACAAAUCCUAAUUUACAUGGUAAUUUUUUUUCAUAGCUAGGGACAACUUCGACUAUGGUAAUGCAAUUAAUAUACACUAGUUUUGGAUGGAGAAGUUUCAAGAUUGAGUAUGGGAUGGGGAGGGGCGAGAGACUUGGAUGGAGAGGUGAGGUUUUAUGAGUUAAACAGUGAUGCAAGGAUGUAUUACUUAAAACUUUAGAGACCGUAUGUUGGGCUAUAUAUAAUAUACGUUACAUGGAUAAUUGUUUAACUCAUAAACGUUUUGAGUGUUUCUAACAUAUGCUUAUCAAAAGCCUUCUCGUUCCAUCAAACAAUACGAAAAUUUUCAAUUGAAUGAAAGACAUACUAUUUUAUAUAUCACAGUACUUCAUGGAUCAUCAUCAUCACAUAUCCUUAAUUCAAAGGUAAUAAAUGAGCAUCUAGUUUUAUUUUAAUUUUAUUUUAUAUAGGGACUACAGAAGCAAGCACCCUCUGUAAAUUAAACUCUAAAACUUCUCAAGUAUCUUGAAAGGUGCCAAAAGCCAUCAGCCAACUCCAGUUGAUGCAUAACCUCCUACAUUUACAAAAACAGCGUCGCCGUUAAUUUAUUGACUUCUUCCCAGGACACAUACCAAUUUGCGAAAGUGGUUUGACUGAUGCUAUAAUUAGUCGAGUAAAGUACAGUCUUUUCAAUUAAGCAGAUGCAAAACACUUAGUUGAUGCACUACAAAUAUGAUUUUUACCUUUAAUUAACGCGCUUCAAAAUCAGAACUGGACUUGUAGUUUGCUGAAGCAACAGUUUCAAGUUGCUGAUUCCCACUUAUACCAGCCUCCACCGUCCUCCUUCCAACAAAAAAUGCUGGCUUUGUUGGUGAUGCUAAUGGAAAGCUUUCAUUUGUCAACAUAGAUAUGACAUCUGACAUGGUAGGGCGAUCUGCUGCAUUUUCUUCUACGCAAAGCAGACCGACAUGGAUGCAUCUUAACAGUUGCUCUUUAAUAAACGAAUUUCCUAAUGUUGGAUCCGUUAAUUCUAGCCCUGCACCUUUUUUCCAUAACUCCCAUGCCUGAAGAACAAGGAUUGCAUUUCAUUCUAAAGAAGAAAAAUAUGAUUAUAAAUUUUAAGAGAGAGAUUUGUUUGUCAUACAUAUCCUACUAAAUUGAGUGCGCGAUCGUCAUUGUAAAAGCUGUUGUUUUUCCUUCCACUUAUGAUUUCAAGCAUCAAUACCCCGAAACUGUAGACAUCAGACUUUACAGAAAUAAUUCCCCCCACGGACUCUGGAGGCAUGUAACCACUACACCAAAUGAAAAAGAAAAAUAGUCAGUAUACUUAUCUGGAAAAAUGCGUGUUUAGCAGUCAAAAGGGGAGGACCACGUCAAUAUGAUGCAGAAAUACUUACAGUGUCCCCGCAACCUUUCUAGUGUUUGCUUCCAAUUCAUUUUGGGUGAAAAUCCUUGCCAUACCAAAAUCUGAAAUUUUUGGGUUCAUGUUUUCAUCAAGUAGUAUGUUACUAGCUUUUACAUCUCUAUGAAUUACUUUCUUUCUUGAGUAUUUGUGCAGAUAAAGCAACCCUUGAGCAAUUCCUUCGAGAAUGCUAAAACGCUUCUUCCAAUCUAGUAGUAGACCUCUGAUUGGAUCUGUCCAAUAUGUUGAGUUAAGUAGGACUAAUAUUAAUUAAUAGUAGUACUCUAUGAACUUUGACAGUAAAAUAAAAAUCAGAUAGUAAAUUUAACAAAUGAAAUCAAGUAUCUUGGUUCCUCACCAAAUAAAAAGUGGUCCAAACUUUUGUUCUGCAGAUACUCAUAUAUCAACAUCAUUUCUUCACCAUGAAUGCAAAAUCCGAAAAGGUGAACCAGGUUUGUAUGUUGGAGUUCAUAUAUAAGUAUCAGUUCAUUCUUGAAUUCUGAUGUUCCUUGCCCUGAACAUUUCGAAAGCCUCUUCACAGCUAUUUCUUGUCCCGUUGCCAAUUUCCCCUGAAUUGAUAAUCCAUAUCAUGCUUUUGCUGUCAUUUUUAGGCAAUUGAAGCUAAUUCCAUUUUUUUUUUCUUACAGCUUUUGAAUUAGAAGCAGAAAUUUUUGUUUUUUCAAAAUGUUACCUUAUAAACCGGUCCAAACCCUCCUUGUCCUAGCUUGUUUUCUUCAGCAAAGUUUCUUGUGGCAGCCACGAUGGAUGAAUAGCUAAAAACGCUAAAAUCAUGAUGUCGCUUAGAUUCAUGAAGAUAAGCAUUUCGUUCUCAAGCGUUGUCCGGUUCUCACCUAUACAGAUCAAUUAUAAGAAAUUAAAGUUUCAAUGGAGACAACAAUUGUCAAAGAUGUGAUUAAUAAUCCUGUAUUACUGGUGCACAUGAUUUAAAGAAAUAUACCAGCUGAUGCAAGGGCUGAUCUUCUUCGUCGGAGUAGAUAGUACGCGGUGCAAAGCACUAGAGCAGCAGCUAUAGAAAUGCCAAUCCAAACCCAUUUAUCUGCUGCAUCAUAAACAAUUAGCUAGCAACAUAUGCAAUCAGUGUAACACACACGGACAUGUACGCAUUAAUUGUCUUCAAUUUUUGGAUGAACUAGGUCUUGCAGGUUUCUUCCGGAAAACGGAAAAAUUCGAGACAGAGAGCAGAACUUAAGACAACAAUAACAAAGAUAGAGGUACCUAAUAAUACUGAUUCCACGCGUGUCACAGAUUUCCGGCUCAAAUCGGGUUUGCAGCCUCGGUAUAUAUCCUUCGGAUCAAGAAAAGAAAACCCUUUUGGGCAUUCGCAGGUUGGCCUUUUAUCUGGUUUGAGCAUACAGGUACUGUUGUAACCGCAAACACCAACGCCCAGUCGUAGGCAAAUAUCAUCCGGCAUAUACACCAGAGGACUAAUCCAACUUGCAUUUCCCGUGAAGUUUUUCUGGUGAGAAUAUAAAGCGAAAAUCCCAUCAAAAUCAAGAGUUGCCCUUAUGUAGUUGUCCCUCACCGACACUCCCUCUGUCCCCUUAAGAGGGACUCUUCCAUCAUUUUCUCUUAGAACAAACAUGUCCCCUGAGCUGCUGAACACCAAUCGUUUGCCUUGACUACCUGGCACGUUCCCUGACGUGGUCUUCGUGGAGAAGUAAGGGAUGUUGGCAUUAUCUGUUGUGACGGAAAUGAGCACGAGGUUUCCAUCACCUUGCAAGCUCAGCCGGAACCGCCCUUUUGUGUAGUUAGUCUCCGAUUGUCUACACGAAAGCGUCCCGUUUCUCUCAAUUGUCUGUCCAGGCAAAACGGUGUCUGUAGGAUUGCUGAAGGUCUCCCACAAGCUCCCCGAGUUUUGGUGUUGAAGGACGAAGUUUCCGGUGUCAUUCAUGACCCCGUUCGCAACAGUCCCCAAGGUUAUUUCGGAUUUCCAUAUCUCUCCACCCUGAGGAUUGUUAAGAACUAGUCCACUGUUGGCAGUCAAGUUCAGAACUGAUCCCCUAGGUGCAACCAUGGGGUUGUUACCGUCAUAUGCAUACCAAAACUACGGUUUUGUCUGGGAUUUUCGCAUACCAUAUCGAAAGCAAGAAACGAUCAUUGUUUCCGAGGGGCGAAAAUCCAAACGCGAAAUCACCGGAAGGAGAAAGCCAUGAUGAGGAGUCGCCUGUAGUUGCAGUUAGAGAACUCCCAACUGCUACUCUUCCAUUAUUUUGGGAAAUCACAGAAAUUGGUAGCAAAAACAAAGAGGAGAACAAAAGCAUCUCUACAGAAAGAGCCACUGCCAUUGCAAAAGCACCAAUUUUUCAACUUGGCUUGAUUGAUUAGCUAUAUUUCUUAGUAAAGCAUUGGUCCUUGUUAUAUCUUUAAGUAAAUGCGUGUGCACCAUGUGCCUGUCAUUUUCUAAGUUUUUGCCUGGAAUUAAAGGCGUCUACACCAUUUUUUGAAGUCACACACAACAAUAUCUCCGGGCCUACAGAAUAAAUUCUCCGAACCUACACAUAUCACAAGAAUUUCACUUUGAAAAAAAAAAUAUAAUGAAUAGUUCUAUAUAUAAUGACACCGAGACUUUUUGUGAUUGAAUUUAUUCUCUCUCAACUCCUUUGUAAUGUUGCAAGUUGGAGCAAUAUUGACGUAAUUAGCAAUGGUCCGCUGACUUGUCUCUCUCAAAUCUCUUAUCAUCCUACUCUCAUCCCUCGUCUGUUUUAUGAUUCUACUUACUUAAGCACUUAUAAAUGUUCCAAAUCAGCAAAGGACUUGUAACUUAAAUAAUUAAUAAUAUUUAUCACUACACUCGAGAUUCUAGGUUCCAAAAUAUAAUAUAUAAUAUAUAUGAAUGUUUCCGAACCAAAAGGACAAGUAAAUACGAGCAUGACUCACGCUGCAUGGGUCGGCCAUUCAAGUCCACCAGUCAAAAUUCAACAAUGGGGCCCACAAAGAAAAUUUGAAAAAGUACAUGCAGAUUGGGGACGGAUACAAAGAAAAUCUGAAAACAGACCUCCAGAACCAAACAAAGACGACUAAGCCUUUAAGUCAAGUGACAAGAGACUUAUAUCUUCACAAAAACAAAGACGACUAAGUCUCAAUUUCUGUAUUCACAAAAAAAAAAGUACUAACUGAAGUUUUUAAUGUAUGAUUACGUCGUUGGGGUAAAACACCCGAUGCCGAGUUGAGAUAAUCACAGGGUUGGGGAAUCAAGAACCUCUUCGAAUGUCACAAUCUAGCGCAAACGGAUGUAGAGACUCAAACCACUUAUUUUAAAUCAUACGGCCUUCAUUAGCCUAUCCUAUUGACCCACAUGGUCCAAAUCUGUCUCUCCCCUCUCUUGAACGGUUUGGAUAUCUCGAUUUGUCGAUUUUGGAUUGCGAGAUUCAAAGAGAAUCUGAUUUCAUGUUUGAGGUGAGGUUUGACGACCAUUUGAAGCCCGUUGAGGCGUGGCCCAUCUCAUCAGGUCGGGUCAGCCAUUUCGUACCAGGUUGGAUCCCAGGUCAGGCCAACCAUUUCAUUAGCCUAAGAUGGACCUGACAGACGAGGCGCUUGGAUAUUGCCUACCGCGACCAAAUGGACCCAUGGACUCAUUAGAUGAUGAGUCUGGACCCUGGUGUGUGUAAAGCCCACCUCAGCUCGAUCCAUAUUCGAUCGAUACUACAAAGAAGGUGGAUAUGAGGUAAAGGUAGAGUAAGCUCCAAGUCAUGUGGAGGUCAGUCGAGAUUGAACACACGUUCAUAGAAUCAUAGUAUCAAAUUCAAGUCCAAAUUUUAACACUACGAAACCGAAAAGCAUUGUUUCAGUCCAACAACCCAAACUUCCUUAAAAAAACUAAGACAAAAACGACGACACUAGGAAACGGAAAAACAUGCAACUCAGAAAACCAUUACUCUAGUCCAAAUGAGGUUCCUCAAUGCCUCAAGCUUUUAUAAAACACCAUAGCCUGAACCUUUUCCUUUGCGCCUUCUUUGCUUCACCAGAAACGUUCUUAAUGAGCUCCUCUUCAAAUUUGGGACGAGCAGGCAUUAGGCUGUGCACAAUGCUGUAAACGCCCCUAGCCCUUGCCACACCCUAGGUGCGUACGCGUGCAUGUCCGACCUGAGUUAUCUUAUUACGCGCGCAGUUUGAUCUUCCCGUAUUGACAUCCCUGCUGUCUAUUCUCCUGCGAAUCCUUCUGCUGGUGACUUCAUCCGAGUCCAUUUUCUUGCUCCUCAGUGCAUGUUCAUCUGCUUUUCCCUGUUAAUAAAUAUAGGAAUCCCAUAACAAACAGCAUUUGACAAAACAGAACGUAAUAAUAACAACAAAACUUGACUCCAUCCUCAGUGCAUGUUCAUCUGCUUUUCCACUUCAAAGCAGCUGACGGCACGAUUCGUACUUGGACUCCAAAAUGUCUAGAUUAUGGAGAAACCAGCCUUCUAUCCAAAACACACAAAGAAGUGUAUUUUCCGUUUAUACCAAUUAAGUGUGUUGAAGCAUGUCCCACAUGGCCACAUAGGAAACUUGUUGAGGUUUAAAUCCUCUUAUAUAGAAAGUUCGACUACUAAUUGCCUUGAGGCCUUAAUUCUGUAUAAAACCAUACCUAUUGAAUUGCACACGUGCUUAAGUUAAGGUCAGUAUUGAUGGUAAUUAGUAGUGGGCUGCUGGGCCGUCUUAAAAAAACUGGUACAAAGGGCAAUUUAUAGAAGCAGUGUUGAGAUAAGGGCAAUUCAUCUGUUCUUUUUAGAAGGAUAUAUAUGAAUGAAGCAAGGUUUAUCUGCUAAUGCGGCUCAGCCCUUUAUCAAAAAGUGAAAGAUCAAAAUUACUUUUACAGCAAGAGCAAUACCAGAAGAUGUAAUCUAAAUUAUUUAUAUUUGGUUCCCUUGAAAUCCUUUUGACUGCUUCAACAUACUAUAUGCAGACAGAACCAGAACCAAGUCCAGACUCACUCGUAAUAGGUCUCCUCAUCCACAACAAUAUCCCAGCUUUCCCUUGUCGUGGUUUUCCCAUAUUUGUGCACCUUACUGCAAAGAGAGAGCAAGUUAACUUGUCAAAGAAAAACCAGAACAAUAGAUGCCAAUGCAGUUCAAAAAGUUUAUUUCCCUUCAUACCCAUUUCCGAAGUGCUCUUCUCCCCAUGUCCUUGACCAACCUAGACAUGAGAGAACAAAAACAGAGUUACAUCAGAUUAAAUUAUUGAAAGAAAAAGGUUCACUUCUGUUGUAACAAAUCGACAUUAGAAUCAAGCAACCACGCUAUGAAAUACAAAUUUAAAAUGUAACAAUUUACUGUGUCUAAAAGGAAUCUUGAAAUAAAAUAGUUAAACCCUAAACAGCACCACUGCAAAUAGCAUAAGAAAAUUAAAAUUAACCCUAAAGAAAUUGGGAGAGAAGAAUAUGAAAAGGGAAUACCUUUCGGCCCCUUUGAGUUAUUGGAAAAAACCCAACAGAGCAAAAGAUAAACAAAAAUACAGGCGGAAAGAAAAUAAAUUUUCAACUUGUAAGAUUCAUACGCGAACAGAUUGGUGGUCAAAAGCAUUUCGGAAUUCAGAGCCAUCAAGCUUUUUGAUCUGCAUGGAAAUUAUUUAUGAAGUUUGAGAUUCUUAUAGACGCUUUAGACACAUCGACAUAUUGAGAAAGCAAUAUUCAACAACCUAGUACCCAUGCUCCAUAGAAGGUUGAGAAAAUAUGAAUGUCUGGACUCUGGAGUGAGAAAGUAAAAGGACUUACCGCAUACUUCAUAUCUUCUAACUUUGUGUAGUCUACAAUCCCUGUUGUGCCUACAAAAAAGGCAUAGGACAAAAGCUAAAUCAAUCGAAAUUCUGAUGUCAUGAUCUAGGUCUUAGGAUUAAACUAUUGAAAUAACACUAUAUGAAAUAGCAGUGUAUAUCCCAAAAAAAGUAUGAAAUCUGGUUGAUAAUUGCAGAGUUCGAAGGGAUUUACCUUUGGAUUCUUCGGCUUUCAGAUGGAGUUUGCUUAUGUAUGGGAGAGAGAGGUGGAGCGGCUAGGGUUUGAGUAUGGAAGAGAUGAAAAAUGGAGAGAACACCUGUUUUGGCUGCAGCAACUCACACACUCCGGACAAAUCUGCAAAUGUCUAAAGGGGGGAAAAUAUAAAAAGAAACCUUAACAACUGAAUUCAAAGAAACAUUAUUACAUUGUAAAUAGCAUUUCACAAAAAAAAUAAAAUAAAAUAAAAUAUACUAAACUAAACUAAUUACACUCGGAUUGCAAUGCUAUCAUUUAAUAAUAGGAAUUCCCAUAACUUAGCAGAAGAUCCUGCAUCUGCAAAGGAUCCUUUAAAACCUAUUUUUUUUAACAACCCCACACCUGCAACACAUCCAGUCAAGGUAAACCAAUAGCACCCUCAUGCAGAGCUCUUCUGUGCAUAUAUACCCCUUAUAAGUAAUCUUAAUCAAUCAGUUAUCAUGAAUAUACAACUUAUAUUAAUUUUCUACAAUAUCCAACACACAAAUAUAACAGAAGAGGAAACUUUUACUUAAGCAGCACAAAAUGAUAUCCUCUGCAUUUCAUUCCAAAAUCCAUCACUCUUAUGUCUUUGCCUGCACAGUUUUUGCUCCAACAUAGCCUGCAAUGAUGAUAUAGCACUAUCAAUAAUUAAGACAUAAAGAAAGGCUAUCCUAGCUAGGUAUUAUGAUUGGAGUAAACCAACAACACCAUAAGUAAAGUAGCAGACCAAAUUUUUUUUAGAAUUGAUGUCUUAACAUGUUUAAGUAGCAAAAAGAUUACAACACAUUGGAUGUGUUAACACGUCCAUAAGCUGAUGACUCCCUCUCCGGUUUACCACAUCAUUCUUAAUGUACUCAACAAUGCAGCAGCAAUUAAAAGUCCUUGGAAAAUGCCAAGCUACUACAAUGACAUAACGAAAACUAUAUCUCACCUUACACCCUUGUUGGCAUAGACAACAUAUCCGUCCUUGUUCGGGGUGAAUCAUAAUCCUGAAUUCAAUUAUCAUCAUCGUCGAGAAUGUCAAACUGUAAAUCAACCAUGCAUGGAACAAAACUUAGAAAUUAAACAAUUAUCAAAGCUUAUGAAGAAUGCUAAACCCAACUAAUUCGAAACAUAAAGUAACCCGAAAGAGAGAAAACUUAUAAAUUUUACAUAAAUUAUAAUCCUUAACAGAAGGAUGGAACAAAACAGGUUCAUUCUUAAGAAUAGAUGUAACUAGUAAUAGGCCUGCGCGCUGCUGCGGGACUUGAAUGCACCAGCCUUAACAACAUGAAUAAGACACAUUUAACAUGAAAAAAAUUCAACAUAAUCAUGAACGAACAAAAAGGAUAGCUGAGUGAACAGUGUUCGUAAGUAAAACAGCUUAGUUUUUAUAUACAUUCAACCAAGCUGAUUACAAAAGAUGUGAUUGUAAAAAAUGUUCUGCUUACCUGAGAAACAAAAGCAACAUGCAUUUUACACAUACAAGACAUCUGAUAUUAAACCUAAAAUCAUGUAAUUCUGUAUGAAGUGGAGAAUAAUGCAGAAAGAUGGUUUUCUAUAGUGCUGCCAAUGACAAUUAAUUUCUCAUGAAAAAAAAGAAAAGAGAAACACAGGUAUAAAAGAAUAUUAUUUUUUAUAGUUGCAAACAUUAUGAAUUCCAAAAAGAAAAACUACAGAUAACACUUCAAUCACAGAUCUAAGCAUCUAAAACGUGGCAACCCAGAUACCAUUCAAGACAUUGCUCAGCAUCAUGGAUAAACUAACCUAUCUGUGUCCCUGUGCUCACUGCAUGUCAUAUACACCCGACCAACUGGGCAUAGGAGCAUAAUGAGGAAAACUUUCAGCACCAUUUUGUACCUGAAAAAUGAGGGAGGAACUAAUUAAAGCGUUCCUCACUUAGAAUAAAUAAUGCAUGCAUAAUAGCCAAAUGGACAUUGCGCAUAUAAAUUGUUGUGGCAAUAACUUGCAAUAGAAAACGUAGUUAAAAAUAAGAUAUACGAAAUACCAACAUUGCAAUGGUAUUUUUUUUUUCCAUUCGAUUGUACUGAAGCAUGCAUCUUAAAUUAGGUACUACGUGAGGUCUCUAUAAUGAAAUGGGAGAUUGAAUACACUUGACGAAACUGAAAAUUCAAAUAUGCACACGCUCCAUAGUGUAUCUUCACAACCAAAAGAAACGUUUAUAUAUACGACAUAUGUUUGACAUUGUUUUUCCCCACUCAAAUCGUCUUGAGAAAAUUUGACUACUAAAAACUACAAAACUUUGAUUAAAGAAUCAAAUAGAAUAGCAUGAGAAAGUUAUUAUUACACCAUACCUGACUUUUUUGCAUAUAAAAACACCUGUAUUUCACCUGAUUUUGUAAUGAAAUACAGAUGCUUGUAGUUCACCAGUACAUAGCUGCCUGUCAUUUGUUGUCUUCUUCGGGUUCAAGAUCCUUAUAUUGUCUGAGACGUGAAAGAAUCAGAAAUUGUAUACAGUUUGAUAAUGAAACAUGUAAUGUGAUUAUGUGACAACAAUGCACUCCUCUCUCUCAGAGAGAUAAACAAAGAUAUCAAAAACAGAGAGGCAAUGUUAAGAUAAACAGAAAGGCAAUGUCACAUUGUUUUGCAUGAUCUUGAAAAUUGGGGAUAAGGUAUUCAAAGUGCUAACAAACACGUGCAAAUGGGGAUAAAAAAGGGGAUAAAUUGAAAAAUAUAUAUGCUCUUAAUCGAGAACUUCAUCAAAUAAACAAUAAAAUCUAAUGUAAUCUGUCCAAAACCAAAGAGAGUGAUAAUUUGGAGGCACUAUAAUGUCUUGGGCAUCGCAUACUUGCGGUAUAUGAUUGAUGCAUCUGUUGCUCAAUCAAAUCAUUUGCUUGGCUAAAAAAGUUAUUUUUACAAUAAAUAGAUUCGCAUCCAAUUUAUGAGAAAUCAUGCAAAAGUAAAUGUAAAUGAUAACGGAAUCAUGAAUGCGAAUAAGAAACACAUACAUGCCAAAAAGAAAACCUACUAUAGUGUGUCAAGUUACUUGCAACAUAAUUUUUUAUGCCAUUAUCCAUUUCGCAAUACUUUAAAAAAAUUUCGUUUGAAAAAGCUUUGCUAUGAUUUUUAGGUUUGGGAAAAAUAAUACCAUAAAAAUUAAAAAACAAUUACUAAAAAUCAUGGCCUGUUAAUAGCAAAAUACACUCCUCAACAAUGUAUAUGAACAUGUGAGUUGAAAAUUUGAAAUAUUCAACAACUAAAAGAAAGAAGCAAAAUCAGAAGAAAAGAAAGAGAUACUCACUCAAAAAUAAAGAUGUAAUAAUGCCAGGCUUCUUCUCCUCGGCAUCCAGAAUUCCAUUGUUGUCUCCAUCUUCAACCUUCAAUGUAUUUAAAAUAUGAAAUGGAAAAAACCCAGAAGAAAUCAUUACAUAAAAUAAAAUUAUCCAAGUAAAAUUAAAGGAUGGAUAGAAAAGAAAUGAAGGCAGUUUAUUCGGACUUAAUUAGAGACUUACUGAAUAAGCUUGAAAUCUAUCUCACACAUCUCUUAAACUUCAACCCCUAUCCUCCUUGCCUCUGUAAUAUGCACACAUAUAGAAAAAGAAAUCGACUUUAGAACCUACAUUGAUACAUAUCUUGUGUGAGUAGGUCUUUCCUGCUUUUCCCCAAUCAUGCAUAUCAAAGAAACGAAAAAGAAGGAAAUCACCCAUAUAUAUAAUACCUUAAGUUUAAAUGCAUCCCAAUUUUGGGUUCCAACGUCACAGAAAGAAUGUCUUAUACAUAAUUUAACAGUACCCCCGACAUCGGUCCAUCCAUUCGUAUUAAUAGUUAUUGUCUGCACAAACCUCAAUUACCUUACAAUCUAUCAUUAUUGACAUAAAGUUCAUACAAUAUGGGACAUCAUGACCUCUCUUUGGCCAGCACCAGUUUUUCCAAAAUGAAAUCAACUAUUACUGCAUUAAUUAUGGGUCCAUCUGGCCAAUUCAUUGAAUUCGCAGACCCAAAAAUUUCACCAAUUAACUGAAUUUACAUACAAAUGGGAGAAGUACAAAAACAAAGACAAUGGCAUAAAUUAUACCAUAAAAAUUACACUACGAAAAAUUUAGAGACCAAAAUCCUUGUUAACAGAAUUUAUUCACAUUAAAAGACACAAUUUCGGUUCAAAAAACUAUCAAAUUUAAACUUUGAUAUCAUAUGAUAAAAUCUUAAUUAAACUCACAAUCUCAAGAAGUUGAAACCAUGUUAAGUAAAAGAAACAAAUUGAAAAAAAUUAAGAUGUAAAUAUUGAUAAGAACAACAAAAGUGGCAAAUACAUUAUACACAGAUAGGACCCUGAAAUAUCGGAACCAGCAGCAACAAAUAGAAUUAAGAAGAAAAAGGAUUAGCAGACUUAAUAAAUGAGAAAUAGGAUAACAGGUACGAACUCAGUUUUUCCACUAUGAAUAAGAGAUCCAGUGGCAUAACCUAACAUUAGGUAGAAUCAAUGCUGGUUGAUUGAAUUUUCAUUCCCUGAAAAUUCAGAAAAUGAUGUGUUUUGAUCUGCAGAUAGAAGCAUUCUAUAUAUAUAAAAAAAAAAUAUAUGGAGACAUGAUGAGGUUCAGAAACCAAACCAUGUCGGUAAAAUCCUCUUGGCAGGUUGCUCAAGGUUGACCUCCUAGCCCUUGGACCAGUCAGGAGACUUGGCCUCCUGCUUUCAAGUUUGGAAGGGAAGUAAAAGGUUCAGCCAAUAAGUAAAAGAAUUGAUUCAGAGGAUAGAAUCAAAAUUUCAAAAAUAUUAUUUGAUGCGAUUAAAACUGUUCCCAAUGAUAAAAUGAAUAAAAAAAUCCAUUGGAAUAAAAGAAAAAGAAUGAUUAAAAUUAUUCACAACCCUUGCUGUUUUUACCUAACCAUUUGUAGGAUCCAUAAAGGGCCAAAAAAAGUUUUUUACUUCUCCUCUAGUCCCAUAAAUUUGGAUUCCAUCUCGUCCAAGCAAACUAACAAUCAUUACUAUACUUUGUUUUAGCAUGCGAACACAAAUCUCAAAAAAAAUAGAUAAUUCAUUUACAAAUUUAAAUUCAAUUUUUAUAUCUCGAUAUUUGUUUGUUAAACUCAAUGAUCAAACUUCAGACUCAUGCCUUCCAAAAAGAAAAGAAAACGAAGAAGAAUUGAAAGCACUUCCCAUUCCAAGGAAAGAGCAGCCAUAAUUAGGAUCCAAAACUCAUUCUUUAGUCUCCUCAUCUGAAGCUAUAUAUAAUCAUUGAACAAAAACGUUUAACGUCCAGCAGAAAGCAAACUGCAAUCAAAAUUUCAAAAAAGCAAAAUAAUGCGCAGAUAAUCGACAGCUGCAACAAACAAAAAAUAGAAAAAUCAAAUGCAGAUUGAAGGAAAAAUCGAGACCGCAAUCGAAACUCAUGCUUGUAUGGGUAAUUAAUUGUAGAUACCAAAUCAUCAAAAACCACUUGUCUACACCAAAUUGCAUACAAAAGAUAUUGGGGCAACUCAGAUUGUGCAAUGAAAAACAAAGUCAAACUACGACGUAGAUGUCUAUCGGAAUUUCAUUCAAAGAAUGAUUAAAUAAAGACAAUGGCAUGCCAAAGAUUAAAUACCCUAAGCGACAGUGUCAGCCAUGAGCUUCCCUCUGUGAGAGCACAGGGGUGUAACUGCAAAAGAAAGCCGGAGACUGAGGGCAAACUGUAAUUUCGUCAAAAAGGAGGAAGUGUACAAAAGAGAAGUGACAGCAAUAAGCGUAGACGCCAAGGACAAAGUAAAUAUGUAUUUGUGAAUGGGGUUAAGCUGCUGCUAGCUUUGUAUAGUGUAAUAAUGCAAUUGCAAAUAGACCAAGUUACUGCUACUAAAAGCUUUUGCAAAAUCAUAAAACUCUUAACAGUUUGAACCCUACCGAAAAGUUUAUAUGAGUUAAAGAACAGUCGUACUUAAGUGCAGCAAGAUCAUAAGCUCUUGCAGCUUCUCCUCCAUAUCAGAACCACCUGCAGUCCAAAUUAACCAAGAUUCAAGGCCAAAGCAAGAACAAAUUAGUGAUAAUUUAAACUAAAGUCCCUAAUUAUUGUUGCAGAGAGAAUUCAUAUCAAGAUUAACGACAUUAUUUGAUUCGAAUGGAAUCCAAACGCAGCAUAAACAUGAAAGGUAAAAAAUUAAUACCAAAAGUCACAUUUAAGCAGCAAUUAAUAGCAUAAAUCAGAUUUUAGUGGCAUGGACCAAAAUAAUUCAGUAAAAAAGAAACAAUCCCAAACAAAUAGAAAGAACUGGAGAAACAAUUCGAAACAAAUCUUCGGAAAGCAACCCCAUCCCUCCCUCACCCUCUCUCUCUCCAAUUCCAACUUCUCCCUACAUCUCUCUGUCUAUAAUAGAUGUGCAGUUUUAUUAAUCUUUGUUGCCGAAGCGUGCAAGAUAGUGAAAAGAUUGUUUAUCUAAGAAAAAAAAGGGCACAUUUUAGAUGGAGACAGAUGGCAUUUAACAAAUUCUUCAUUAGUGGAGUAAAUAAUUUGCAACCACCUAUUUCCUGGUAGCAUUAAAAAAAAAAUUCAAUUUUAAAAAAGAAAUGUACUUUUUAGUUCAAUUUCCACAGCCAUAGUAAUUUAUGUGGACUAAAAUUAAGAUUAACUAAUACAUCCAAUCAACUGCAACUAAACAACUUAUAGUAAUUGAAUCUGUGUUUGUGGAUGUGAGAGAGAGAGAGAGAGAGUUAUCUAUUAUAAAGCCAACCUUCUUUGAAUUGGUCCUCUUAUGGCUUAUUACCAAAACUCUCCAUUGCAUUUGCAGUAAUGCCCUCUGCUUCUCCUCCUGCGAAUUAUCAUUCUGUAAGUAAAAGGUACAAAAACAUCAAUUACUUAAUGGUAGAUAUGUACUUUAGACUUUUGAAGAUCCAAUUCAUCCUGCAUCUUCUCACACUCAUCUUCAUGCUGAAGCUGCAAACCUGUCAGCUCAGCUUCAAGUUCGCUCCUCAUUGAAGUUAUUUUCUAUGAAAAUGAUAAACUGGUUUGUAACGUAAGCAUAUAACACUCUAGUUAAAUUAGUAGUUCCAACUUAAUUCAAAGCUAAAAACGACAUUAAUGACCACAAUUUAAGAAUCCAGAAACAGCCCAAACUAACAACACACACAGAGGACAGACACUGAAAGACAUAUUUUUUUAGAGAACCUAACUAAAAAUUAAAAACAAACCAAGUAAAAUUUUCAGAGUUUAAAAACAGGAAACCAUUACAAUCUUUACAGAAACCAACUAAAAUUGGAAUCUGAAAAAAAAUCCGCUCAAUUUUAACAGCCCUGCUGCAUAUAUUGGGUUUUUUUAGGCAUGAGACAACACAAACGAAGAAAACAUAACAUAGUUGUAAACCUUAGGCUCCAAUCAGGUCAAGUGUGAGAUUUCAAACACGGAGAUUUACUCCAUGUUUAAAAACUGCCAAAUACAUUGCCAACUGUUAAGAGUAUGAACUACAAAUCUAUAAAGUAAAAAGACUUGCAGAUAAGUUUAAACAAUCAACAUUCAACUUAUGAUUGUUACUGUUUUUUAGCUGGAUGUUCACAUUCUAAUAAGGUAUUAAAAGAGAUUAUAAGCGUGUGUGCUCUUAAACCACCCAACACCAUGUAUUAAUCAAAUAAUUAACAUCUAAAGAUGGAGACAUGAAACACGAAACCUGCAAUUAGAUCCCAAUCACAAAAUGCCAAAAAAAUCCUAAUCUAACCAUCCCUAUACUAAUAGCCCAUUCGAGCAGCUAUUAGCACCUAACCCGCUACUUUGGCAACCCACCAACCCGCCACACCGUCAUGUCCCAUCCCCUCUCCACCACUCACUAUAUCUCUCACCUUUCUUUCUUGACAUUUCGCUCGGUGCACACAAACACCAAGCCAACCAUUGCCGGCCUUUGUCUAAAAGUGGACAAAAUCCCAUAGGUCCUGGCAGAGGACCUAGCUAAAUCUCUCUCCCACUCAGUCGAAACCCGUAGCUACCAUUUCUCUCCAAUCUGUCAGUCUCUCUGUCCCCCUCUUCUCCUCCCCCCAACAACCCUCUGACCGAUGCAUCACCCACAGCCACACCCACCCGCACCCGAGUCAAAAAUCCCAACGAUCCUCUCCCUCCAACCCGUCAACAAAUUAUGGAUUCCGAGAAUGUAUCUUGAAAACUCAGAUGCACAUGAUUAAAAUUAGUAGAUAUUAAGGACGUGUACUUAACAGAACAACACGAAGAACGAAUGAGUACAUUACAAACUAAAUGACCGUGUCAGCUAGAUACUUCUUAAAGAACACCUCUAAUCUACCAGUAUGAUUACUCAGUUUUUGGUUUUUAAAUUAAUACCCUAAACCUUACAUUCAAACUCAUUUCGAAUGCAAACAAAAGUAAAUGAUAAGUCCCGAGCUUUUCUUUCUAGCCUCAACUCAACUCAAGUUCCCAACCUUCACCUUCCAAUACAAAGAAACUAACGCAUCAAUCUGCAAUUUCGCAAACAUAUAAUUCAACUAACCAAGUUCUGUGUCCACUCAAAUGCACAUAUUUGAGCUCAAUCAAACUUAAAUUUGAAACAAAUAGUGAUGAAAGAUCAAACAUUUAUACCUAGCUUAGGAUCCGAACCAAUCUCCUCUUUCGCCUCCCUCGUCGCCGUGUCCCCAUCGUCCUUGUCCCCCUCCUCUGUUUUCCCACCCGGCAAAGAAACUUCACCUGCAGAAACACAAAACCAAAAAUUAAAAAACCAAUCUUUCCCAUUUCCAUUUUUAUCAAUUUCCUCAAUUUUUCCCAUUUCCAGAAAAAUGAGCAAGAAGCUUAAGCAGGAAAAAAAUCAUAAUUUCAACAACCAAAACCCAAUACCCGUUUAAUCAUACACGAACGAAAAAUCUAAACACAGAGUCACAGAUUAACGAACUGAAAACCCAAAAAAAAUAAAGGAAACUGACCUUACUUAAGAACAAUACAUAGAACACAGAGAAACGAAACAAAUAAAGGAACCCCCAAAACCAAAUAAAGGAACCCUCAAAACCUGACCUAACAGUGCAACAAAAUCUGGAAAUAAUUCACAGCAAAAAGGCAGAAAUGAUGACAAUCUAUGCUAACAGUAAAGAAUCGAAUUAAAAAUUGAACUUAGCUUUUGAAAUCCAGCCACUCAUCCGACAUGCAAAAGGGAACGGAUGAUCGAGAGUGAAUCAUGGACUGAGGGACCUUACUCGACCCAUCAUUGGAGCUACGUUUGUAGCUUUUGGGGAGAAAAAAAUUGAAUGUGAAAGCUGCUUUUGAUGUGGCCAUUAAGGUGGUGCUUCAGCAACCGAAGCAAAAGAAGAAGAGGCAGAAAAAUGUGAGUAUUCCAUGAAGAAAAAAAAAAGGUUAAAAAAUCACUAAAAAGAAAAGGCAGAAAAAUGCAGGGUAUUCCAUGAAGAAAAAUUCAACAAUUAAAUAAUAUAGCUGUAAACCUUAGACUCCAAUCAGGUCAAGUGUGAGAUUUCAAACACAGAGAUUUACUUCAUGUUAAAAAACUGCUAAAUACAUUGCUAACUGUUAAGAGCAUGAACUAUCUGUAAAGUAAAAAGCCUUGCAGAUAAGUUUAAACGAUCAACUGUCAACUUAUUAUUGUUGCUGGUUUUGAGGUGGACGUUCGUAUUCUAACAUGGUAUUAAAAGAGAUUAUAAGUGUGUGCGCUCUUAAAUCAGCCAACACCAUGUAUUAAUCAAAUAAUUUAUAUCUAAAGAUUGAGACAUACAACAUGAAACCUGCAAUUAGAUCCCAAUCACAAAAUGCAAUAAAAAAAUUCCUAAUCUAACCAUCCAUAUACUAACAACCUAUUCGAGCAGCUAUUAGCACAAUUUACCUCCCUCUCUAUUCUUCCCCACCCCCUCUUUAACCAAAUAAAAACUCAUUUGUCUCACUAAAUAAAAACCUCAAAUUUGUUUUUUCAAAGCUGCAACAACAUCACUAAAAACACCAUGUAAUAAAAAUUUAAAAAAACCAAUCCAAUUUAAGUCGAGAAGCAAAUGACCAAACCUCCUAUUUUGAGGAAACAUUUUGCAUUCAAACCUAAAAUGCUUGCCUGCAAAGAAGGAUUAAAUAGCAAAGCAGACUUUCGGGGGAAAUAAAAAAAACAGACUAUUUAUAAUACAAUAAAAAUAAAGUAAUUCAUCAUCCCCACCAUCUCUGUGAGCUUUAACAGAACAGAGGAAUCAAAUUAAGCAAUAUAUAAAUUUAAGUUGACAUUCCAGUGUUCUACCUCUAACCUUGGUAGCAUGCAUGCACUGUAAGUUAUAAAGUGAAUUAAGCCAAGAUCUUCUAACUUCAUGAUUUUCACAUAUGCAUUAGAUGGAGAAAUACAAUAAAUAAUCAAAUAUGUAAGACUCUGAUAUUCAAAACCAAACAAACCCAAUUACACUUUUAGUUCACUAACCCCAUUGAAUAAAAUCCAAUUCAAUAAAAUAACAGAAAAUUAAACAACCCAAAAAUCAAAACAACCCCACUUGUAGUUUUAGCUCACUAAUCCGUUGGAUAAAUAGAUGCCAAAUUCAAUCAGAAAACAUACAAUUAACAACAACCCAGAAGAGCCAUCCGAAAACCCAACCAAUUAACCAAAAAAUACCACUUGUUCUUUUAGCUUAGUAACCAACCUCUACUUGUUUUCUGGCAAAUUUGGGGUCCUUUGAUUUCUAGACUUUCAGUAGAAACUGAUUAUACCAUGGGCUAAUAUUCAAGUACCACAAAAUAUAAUUUUACCGUAGUAAGCUUUUUGAUUCACUCCAAACGAAGAUAUUAUAUGUUCACAUAUAUAUAUUCACAACCAUAAAAAGAAGAACUUAUCUCUGGCAUUUUAAUAAAAAUAAAAAUAAAUUAUUCACCCACAGUAAAAACCGAAACAGCUAAAUUAAACCCAAAAAUUAAUCAUGAUCAUACAUAUGUAUUCCUGACAAAUGUUUAGCCCUUUAAUUAAAACACUAAAAUAAAAAAUUGCUCACCCACAGUAAAAAACCGAAACAUGCAAACCAAAGCCCAAAAUUUAAUCAUCACUAUUACUUUUUUUUUUUUUGGUGUUUUUAAGUUUCAGGGAAAAAUGGAAGCACAAACAAUCAAAAAACCCAAACAAAAAGAAAUUAACACCAAAGAGAUAAAUUAUAUACCUGACCCAGAAAAAGCUUGGAAGCUCACAUAAUGAAACCCUAAAACUCGAAGAAGGAUGCUUCCUGCAAACCAAAUACAAAAUCAGACUCUCUCUCUUAGAAAGAGAGAAGUUAUCAAGUCCUGUACUUGGUUAUAUUUGUUCAAGUUAGGAAAAAUCGAGUACAGGGUUGGUACCUGGAGCUUGAGAAAUCAGAGAGCUUGCCUGUUUGAGAAAAGAUGAUAACAACAGCUUCAGAUUCACACAGAAAACGUACAAAAAACGCACAACAUGCUCUCUGCCCUCUCUCUCUCUCCCUCCCUGUCCAUCCGUCCCUCAAAAAGUGGGAAAAAAAAUCUCCAAACGUCUCUCCCACUCAUGAAAUCGAGGAUCUGCAGCAAUGGCGCUGAGGUCGCCACUCCUCCCUCUCCCUUUCUCUGUCGCUCUGUCUCUGUCUCUGUCUCUGUCUCUGUCUCUCUCUAUCGAAGGCAUGGCCUUUCAUCCCCGAAACCCUCACUGAAUGACAGCAAACCCAAACCCACCCCAAUCCGUCUCAAACACACAGGACAAAAUUGCCCUUCCAACCCAGCCCCAAUACCAGCCCAAACCUUACGGUUUUGUUGUAAAUAGCGUGAAAUCGAGUGGCUCCCUGAUAAGCCAUAUGGACAAAAUUACCCUCUGAAAUUUUGAGAAUCACCCUCCCAACCCACUCCCAUUCGGCUGGUACUGUUGUAAAUAAAGCAAAAUAAAAACAAACGUGAAUAGUGCCUGCCCUCCCCCUACUUUAGUAUAGAUAAUUUUGCACAUUGCAUAUAUGUAGAUUAAGGACGGUGGUAACAUACCUUGUAAUUUGUACAAAUUAGGAUUUUCAUUCAAAGAACUAUAAUAUACACAAUUACAAAAAAAGUGAUUCAAACUUGUUCUUCUCUUAAGGAAAUUACUCACAGUUGAAAUUCUGAAUGGAUGAAGUUUUGGCUUCCCUUUCCGACUAUAUUUGAUUAACCUUUUUUUAAUCCAAUGAGUGCCUUCAUGAGAGAGAGAGAGAGAGGAAUAUUAGGUGAAAAGUAUUGCCAAAUCACACAGAGAUCAAAAUCUUGAAUAUAUAUGUUUAACCAUGUCAAAGUGAGUGUGUAAAGGGUGUAGUCUGCAGAAAGGGCAACAUUUUCACUGCUAGAAAGUUGGAAACUAAACUUUUACACAGAUAUUGGAUUUUAUUAAUUCCCUUCGCGAAUUGAAAAGCAAAUUGUUCGAGUAAUGCAGGUAAAUUCGAUAUACAUAUGCGUUGAUCUAUGUGACGGUUAUAAGUUAUAACUGUAUUGUCUUAACGCAAAAAUGAUCAUAAAUGUAAGUGUCUGUAUUAUGGAAGUAAGGGACUUACAGCAAUUGCUAUGAGCUUUAACAGCAGUCACUCCAAGUACCUUAUUACGGAAGUAAGGGACUUACAUCAAUUGCUAUGAGCUCUACCAGCAGUCUCUCAAAGUGGUGCAAGGGCUAAAAUUAUAAAUAAAAAGUAAUUUAAACAAUUUAACUUAAUAAAAUAUUGUAAUUUAAACAAUGCCUAUAUAUUCAAACAUCCCAAAACAGGAAUGAACUUCUAGAAAACAUGCGCAUGAAAAUAAACGGCAUUACUCACCCAUUGAGUUGGACCAUCAAACUGGAGCGUAAGAAGGAUCAUCAUGUACCUAUGAAACCCAAAGGAAAAUUUUAGCAACCCCAAAGCUUGUAUGCAAGCGUGAAUAAGUAUGCGUGUAUGAAUCUAUUCAUAGUGAAGAAGGCUACCUUAAGAAAUAUUUGCAUCUGCAGCUUCAUAUGGCCAUACAACAAAAAGCAUCGCAUAUGAUAACAAACCCCAGCUGCACCACAAAAGGAAUAUGAUCUUCCUCUCGACUUGUAUUUGCAGUUGUUACUGUAACAUCUGCAGACAGCAUACAUAAGCACUGAUUCGAUAAUUCUAAAGGAAAAAAAGUUCUUAUUCGAUAAUGCACCAAAUCCUAUCCAAAAACCAAGGGGGUGCCAUAUCCCUAGAUUAACAGAGCAUCUUUCUUUGUUCCAAAACAAAUUGCAAUUGGCUUUGGUAAAGUAGAAAGAUUACCAGAUACCGACUCUGUUCCAUUAUUCGACUGUCCUUUUAGUUCUAUCUCUCAACAUGGGAAAUACAAUAAGACAGUAAAGACAAAAGUUAGUGAUGCUAUUACAUAGUGAAAGAAAAUAAGACAUUCACAUAUUGAUAGCUAUUUACUGUCCUUUCUCAUCAUAAUCUUGGCCCCAAUAUAUAUACUGAAUUUUGAAUGCAAUGAGAGAAAUAUACCUUUGGGGCGUCAAUGCCAGAAGAGUGAGUGAGGGAUCUAAGAUGUUUGAGAGCAGGAAUUUUUAAGUAAUUUGUGUGAAAAAGUUGAAGAGCUUCGAACAGAGUGGAGUGGGUUGGCCUGGGCUAAAAUAAAGAGGAUGAACUCUAGAAAGUAGAAAAUGUUGUUAUUCAACCAAACUCAAAAGUAAAGAAACCAUACAAUUAACAUAUAAAUAAGUUUUAUAUACCAAUGUUUACAUGUACGUUGUUUGAGAAGGUAAAUUAGCAACAUAUACAGUGAUCAAAAGAUUAACAGCAAUAAACUGCUCAUUAUUCGAAAUAUACAUGAAAGUUGUCAUUCACAUGAUCCAAAUGGUAGAGGACAAAACAGAAGGAAGCAAAUAUUAUAGCAGCAUAAGUUGAAUAAUUGCAGCAAGUAAACAAAUAGAAAGGCUAGCUAGAUUACACAAUCCAGUUCUAGGUCGGACUAACCAUGUUAGCCAUCCGCCCACCACCAGCACCGUCGGCUUCUUAUUAAAAAUGUAGAAUAGAAGACUCAAAAACUGGAAAUGAAAGCAGGUAACAUUGAGUUUUAAUAACCAAAAAGGGACAUUGUUUAAGCAGCUCCAUAGCAGCAAUUAUACUUGGACGAUGAGCUGCAAAAACAGAAAAGAAAACACAAAUUAAACUAAAAAAAAUAUAAAAUUUAGCACUAAUCCAGGAUUAAAUAUAAAAUAUAAAGUCAUUAGGAUUGGGACCUUUGCAUUGAGGAAUAUCUACUACAUUAUGAGUUCCCUCCUGACAGUGGCGGAUCCAGGAUUUUAAACUCGGGGGGUCUCAAUAAUAAAGGUCAAAAAAUUUAUACACAAAAACAACAUUGAAAAUUUAAAUAUAAUACAUUUCAUUCAAAAAUCAUAUGCAAAACAAUAUUACAAAUUAUAAAAUCAUAAUUCAAGCGUCCAUUACAAGGUUUCAUAAGUUACUACCUAAGUUAUUGAUUAUCUAAUAUGGACCACUAAAUUUAAAACACCAGUCAAAUAAAACUCUUCCCAAACUCCCACUAUCUUUCUAACCAAACACACCAUUUUUCUCUUUUACUAGUUUCCAAACAUCCACUUUCUCUCUCACUAAGAACACAGCUGCCAUACCUCCACCAACCACCUCCCUCCCCAUUCUCCCGAAGCCAUGGCAGCUCCACCCCCAAAUUUCACCAACCCAUGACAGAUCAUAUCCAUCUUACUAACCUUAUGCAGGAAAUUUCACCCAUAACAAAAAUUACUAAGGUGGUUGAAAUAAUUUGGGGAAAUUUGGGCUUAUGUACUGCCCCGCCAGACGACAGAUGGAGGAGAAGUGGGUGGCACCGAUGGAUGAGACCAUGGCAGAAGCAAGGAGAGAGGCUGGAAGGGUCCCUAUUUUCUUUCUUCUCCGUGCGCGGUCAUCUUCUCCGAGAAGAAGACAGCCACUGCAACCUACAACCUGCACAGACCUCAUGCUCGAGUACGAGGGGUCCCCGGAAAAUUUCUAGCAGCGAUUUAGGAUCGCCGACGGGUCCUGGGACCUCCCAGGUCCCUAUGUAUGCAGGAAAACCUAAGGUUCCUCCUUAGGUUUUUCGAUGUACCAAACCCGAAUCCGCCGUCCUUUUUCCAAAAUUCUAACGUUUUCAUAGAGUUUUAUUAAACGACCUUUAAUUGUGUUUAGGUGCAUCGGUGGAAGUGACCUCAUUCUUGAUGGUUCGAGCGGCUUUCGGGCAAUGGAAAACUUGUGAGUGGACCCCUUCUAAACUUAUAUAUUGUUAUAAAAUAUUAGCCUAGCAUGCAUUCCAUAUUUCAUGAUUUGAAUAUGAUUUAUAAUAUGCUUUAUGGACUUUUAUAAUUAUGGUUUACGAAAUAGUUUGAUUUAUCGAAAUUACGUUUUAUUAGGUAUUGAAUUAUUGGAUUUACAUAUAUGGAUUUCUAUGGUUUUCAAAUACGAUUUAUAUUACGGUUUUACGAACAUGAAUUGUUUUAUGGAUUUCAUGAAUACAAUUUAUCUUGGAUUUAUGAGAUGAGACUUUGAGCUAGUGAGCUCCGGGUUUGAUAUGAGUUUUGAGAUAUGUUUUUGGUACUUAAUCUAGUGGGUUAUCAUACGGCACAUCCGCACACCACGGGUAUAGAUGUGUAUGGCCAUAGGACACAGAUGAUGAGGAGGAGUAAGAUAUGAUAUAUUGUAUACCCCCAGUUCACUGUCGAAAGCAGUGUCAGAUAACUUCACUAGCCAUGGCUAGUGUCGGUAUGGAUGUUAUGCUAUUUCAUACAGCUUCACCUUCGGGUGAUAGACAGUUAUUUAGCUUCACCUUCGGGGUGAUGGACAUGUACUACCUUCGGCCAACUAUAAUAGCCUUAGUUGAGUACUUCACUGACAAGAUUUACAAAUUUGCCUUUGGGCGACGACAUUUUCAUUAUCAAGCACUGGAUUUUACAUAUCUACCUUCUAAAUGGAUUUUCAUGGCAUGCUAGGGUUUUUCAUAAAGCCUAUAUGUAGUAUUAUAUAUGUUUUCAAAAUAAGGGGUUAUUAUGUUCAUAAAUAAAAUGUUUUCCUAUUAUUAGUAUUAUUAAUAUAAACUUUGGUCCACUCACCUUUUCAGUUUUUGCGCCUCCUCAGGAGUUAGGAUCGAGGCACAUGAUCCCGGCAUCAUGGCAUGUUGAUAUAGGUAUCCUUGAAUCUUCUUAGUGUAGGUAUCAUUCCCUUAUUCAUAUCUUUUUAUAGUGAUUCUUUCCUAUUAUUUCUAAUUAGUUGUAUGCUCUGAACAAAUUCCUGCUUUGGUAUAAUCGUUAUAACUACUUAUCUUGUAAUUGUUUGCAUGUUUAAAAUGGUUUCGUCACCUUUGGGCGUGGGCUAGCACGUGCCUACCCUGGUAUGUUGGGGUAUCGGGGUUGGGGCGUGUCAAAGAUAGAGAGUGAAUUUCUAGCAGAUUCAAUGGUUGUCUACAUUUUAAAAAGAGCUUGCCGAAAAGAUUGAUUCAGAUGAAAUAACAAAGGAUUUCAAUUCCAUUAAGGAUUGAAGGGCACAACUUGAAUAGGUAUUUUUCUUUUUAUUUGUUAGGUUGUUAUGACAAGAUUGACGAUGUAUGUUUCUUUAUAUUGUAAGUUGCAACUUUAAAGGUUUUCUUCGUUAAAUCUAGUUGAAACUUGAUUCAUUUAGAGUUAAAUUUCUUACUUCAAAUUGUUGCUUUUAGGCUUAUUAUUGUGUAACUUUAUGCAAGCAACAAAAAAUUUUAACCAUUUGAUUUUGUACUAAUAAUUUUAGCUUAGCAUGCCACCAAAUAAUUCAUGUCUCCGCUAUUGAAAUCUUAGCAUGUGCAAUUUCAAAGUCUCGGUUGCCAAGUCUCCCCAGGCUGUUCAGCACCCAUUCUGAAUCUUGAUCGAGAUCUAGAGCAGUGCAAGUCAAGGAGUCUUCAUUCUCAUUUGAAACAAUGCUAAAAUUAUACCUCAGCUUGGACUCCUUGGGCAAAAUAUACCCAAAUGUAUUAAUAAUUUAAUACUACUUGUGGAUGCACCACUAGUCCAAAAAAAUCACCUCUCCUUUCUUAAUCUUCAAUUGGUGAGGGUCCCAAUCAAGCGUGAAAGGCCCCGGCGCACGGUUGGCUUUAGUUUCCCAUGAUGAAAUCGACGAAACGUGGCCAUUUGUACGGUUGACACCCAAUUUCAUGCCCGGCAAAAAGGUGUCAACUGGUAAUCAAAGCUUUACGUUCACUUCUUCUUGUACAAAAUUUCCCGAAUCCAAAAGGAUAGCCACAACAGUAGCAAUACUGUUACUUAUGUUGGUAGACCUAGUAGUUUGUGGAGCUGAGAAAAACACAAUUGGAUUAGGAUCCCUCCCGCAUAAUUUUCAAGGUUUUAUUCCUGUCCAAGGCAAGAGUGCGUACAAAAUAGGGGCUUUACGGUUGCAAAUCCAAGCAAUGUUGCCAUCGGCCUUGUUGCUCUGGAUAGAUACGUAGCUGGUGCUUUUGGAACUGUCGUCGUGUACACAGGAACUGAAACUGAACUUCUCCGAUGCAGAGACCAAAGAACUUGAGGAGUUGAGAGUGUCUCCUGCUGGUUUCAGUGUGUCCUUGCACUUGCAGCAUUGUGACAGGUCCACAGUCAGCAUGCAAAAAUGAUUAAGUUGAUUAUUGCCAUGAUUAAUUAAUGACCAUAACAUGAAGUUUAAUUUCUCCAUAUGAUGAGGAAGAAAGACAUGAAAUCCAUCACCAGAACAUGAUUAAGAAUUUAAUCAAGCAACGCGUCUUAGUUAAACCAUUACAAUCAUUGUACAAGGCAUUUAUAAAUUAAAAAAAAGGGAAUAAAGUAAUAAUUGUUAGAAUAAGAAGAAAAUGUAGUACAACAAUGGAGGAUAUGCUGCAAUGACUAGAGUGAGAGAGAGAGAAAGAAGAGAGCAGAGAAUAUGACACUGCAAUUCUUUUCACACGCAUUGUUUGAUUGCUCACUUAGUGAGAGAGGAACAUCUCUCUACACUUAACAGUUACACUUCCAAACUUUUGGCAGUAUUCAAAAUUACAUCCAAGUAAUCCUAGCCAUCCAUCUUACACCCUAUGAGAUGAAGACACAUGUACACUCACUUACUUAAGAACUAUGAGACUUAGAUAAGAAAGCAUACAACCAAUUUAGCUAAUCAUCCUAGCAAUAUAAGCUAGAAAUACAACUACCACAUCAGAUCACAAUUUACACACUAACAGCCCCCUUUAAAUUGUGAACUGAUUUAACUCCAAGAAGUUCCCUCAGAUAACUGAAUUGUUCUCUUGCCAAUGCCUUUGUAAAGAUAUCAGCAAUUUGGUCUUUCGUAGGACAAUGCAACAGCUCAAUUACUCCUUGCUGCAAUGCUUCCUUUAUGAAAUGGUAUCUCCUGUUGAUGUGCUUGGUCUUCUGAUGAAAAAUAGGAUUUUUAAUGAUAGCUAUGGCUGAAGUAUUAUCACAAUUCAUUGGUGUUGCAACUAUUUGCAUUUCACCAAAGUCCUCCAAAACAAAUCUCAGCCAUGUAGCCUGUGCAGUUGCUUCAGAUGCACUAAUGUACUCUACUUCAGCUGUUGAUAAUGCAACACAUUGUUGCUUGACUGAAGACCAAGAGAAAACUCCACUGCCAAAGGUAAAUGCAUACCCCGAUGUACUUUUCAUAUCAUCUUCUGAACCGCUCCAGUCACUGUCACAAAAUCCCAUUAAGAUUGCUCCUUUGCCUUUCUUGUAUUCCAAGCCAAAAUCAAGAGUCCCUUGAACAUAUCUUAGUACUCUCUUUGCUGUCCCAAGGUGCUUGUUGGUUGGACAGUGCAUAAACCGUGAUAGCAGACAUGCAACAUACAUUAUAUCAGGUCUAGUUGCUGUGAGAUACAGCAAACUGCCUACAAUUUGUCUAUAUUGAGCUUCAUCCGUAGUCCCACUUCCAUCCUCUUUUCUCAAUUUAUCACUUGGAACCAAUGGAGUACUCACUGACUUACAGUCUUGAAGUCCAAAUUUCUUCAGUAGAGAAGAAGCAUAUUUUCUCUGAUGAAUGAAAAUAUACUCCUCAGUUUGCAUUACUCCCAUACCAAGAAAGUGAUGUAAGAGUCCAAGAUCAGUCAUUUCAUAUUUGAGCAUCAUAUUAGAUUUAAAGUCAUCCAUCAAUUCCUGACAACUUCCAGUGUAUAUUAUGUCAUCAACAUAGAUAGACACUAUAAUCAUUUCUGAACUUUUCCUCCACUUGGUAUACAGAGUUGCUUCGCUAGUGCUUUUCUUAAACCCACAGAGUGUAAGAUAUGAGUCUAUUUCACCAUACCAGGCCCUUGGUGCCUGCUUCAGACCAUACAGUGCUUUAUGUAACCUGUAGACCUUAUCUUCUUCCCCUUGUACAAUAAAUCCAUCCGGCUGAUCAACAUACACUUCUUCUUCUAGUACACCAUUCAAGAAUGCCGAUUUUACAUCCAAUUGAAACAACUUCCAUUUGUUCUUUGCUGCCAGGGCAAUUAAUGUUCUGAUUGUAUCCAACCUUGCCACAGGUGCAAAGGUUUCAUUAUAAUCAAUUCCGGGCUUUUGUGCAUAGCCUUUUGCAACAAGCCUAGCCUUGUUCUUUUGAACUGAUCCAUCCAAAUUCAAUUUAGUUUUGUACACCCAUUUCACACCAAUCACAGGUUUAUCAGAUGGUCUUUUCACUAAUUCCCAAGUCUUAUUUUUCUCAAUCAUGCUGAUUUCAUCUUUCAUAGCUUUCUUCCAUGCUUUAUCCUGUGCAGCUUCAUAAUAGGAUUCUGGUUCAACAAUACACAUGACAUCUUUCAUAGAUUUCACUCAAACUUCUAUAUCUCAAAGGAGUAUGAUCAAUCUGAGAUGCAAAAAUUGAGUCACUAGCACUUCCAGAUUCAAUGAGUGGAGAAUCUGUAAGUUGAGUCUGAGAACCUUCAGCAACAGCUUGUUCCAUGGAAUCCGAAUCCUCAUCAGCUUCUUUCAUCUCUGAAGAUUCACUUGCAGCAAUUGGAAUGUACACUUCUUUGAUCUUCUAUCUAUCCCAAUCCUAUGUACCAUUCUCAUAAAAAAUAACAUCUCUUGAAAUGAUUACUUUCUGAUUUUCAGGAUUAAGCAAUCUGUACCCCUUUUCACAAGUGCCAUAUCCAAUAAAAAUACCAAUGACACUUGUUUCAUCCAGCUUCUGUCUCAGGUUUCCAGGAAUAAGGGAAUAACCUAAUGAGCCAAACACUCUCAAGUGUUGAAUUCCAGGUUUUCUUCCACUGAAUUUCUCAAAAGGUGUCACAUUUUCCAAUACUUUUGUAGGACAUCUAUUUAGCAAGUAGACAGAUGUAACUACAGCUUCACCCCAAAGACUAUAAGGAAGACCUUUCUCAUGAAGCAUACACUUUGCCAUCUCCACUAUAGUUCUAUUUUUUCUCUCUGCAACUCCAUUCUGUUGUGGAGAGUAUGCAACAGUAAGCUGCCACUCCAAACCCAAAGCUUCACAAAACUGUUCAAAUUCAUUUGAGGUAAAUUCUUCUCCUCUAUCUGUUCUCAAUUUCUUCACUGAAAAACCACUUUGAAGUUCCACCAUAGCUUUGAAUUUCUUGAAUACAUGAAAGACAUCUGACUUGUGUCUCAAGAGAUAUAUCCAGCACAUCCUCGAAUAGUCAUCAAUGAAUGUAACAAAGUAUCGAUUUCCACUUAUGGUUGGUGUUUGCAUAGGGCCACACACAUCUGAGUGUAUAAGUUCCAAUGGCAUUCUUGCUCUCCAGAUUGACUCCCUUGGAAAGGACACUCUAUGAUUCUUACCAAAUGCACAUCCCUGACAUACACCUUCACUGUCAUGCAUUUCAGGUAACCCAAGAACCAUAUCAUGCUCCUGCAAUUGUUGCAAACUUCUAAAAUUCAGGUGGCCAAACCGUUUAUGCCACAUUGUACUAUUCUGAUGCACAUUGGUUUUCAGUACCAAAUGAUCGUUUGACUUGAACACAAGUGGAAAGCAUCUGUUCCCCUUUUGUUUCACACUAACCACUAAAUUUGUCAGAGUUCUAUCAUAAAAAAUAUCCACCUUAUAAUCACCAAAUAACAGAAAAUACCCAUGUUCAGUCAUCUGCCCAACACUGAGAAGGUUUUCUGCAAUUCCAGGUACUAACAUAACUUCUCUUAUGUACCUUUUUCCUUUAUCCGUGUCAAUGACCAAGGUUCCUUUGCCUUUCACAUCAACAAGAACCCCUGUGCCAACUUGCACUUUUGCUUUAAUACUUCUAUCAAUUUCCACAAGUAACUCCUCUCUGGAAGUCAUGUGAUUACUGCACGCACUGUCAAUAUACCAGGCAUCACUCACAGCUUUCACUUCAGUUGAUUGCUUGACCAUGAAGAGAUUUCCAGGUUCCAGGUUCUCCCACCUUGUUUCUAAAAUUUCUUUGCUCUCCCACUUUGUCUGCAAAAUUCCCUUGCUGAGCAUUUUUGUUUUGAUUGCAGAUCCUAGCAAUAUGACCAGGUUUUCCACACUUGUGACAUUUAAUCUUCCCUUUUAGCCAACAUUCACCAUAGUGAAGUUUAUCACAGUAUUUGCAUGCCCCUCCAGUGUUGUUAGCUUCAUUUCUUACACUUGGAGUAAACCUGUUAGUCCACUGCUUCCCUUUGAACUUGAAGUUCUUCUGAUAUUUUGAUCCACCAGUAUUGGUAUGUUGAUUACCAAAUUUACUAUUCUUAGAUGAGAUAUAUAUCUAAGCUAGCAAAUGCACGUUCUGUGCUACUCUCUUCAUGUCUGAUUAAUCUUAGUUCAAACCCUUUCAAUAUGGCAACCACAUCUUGUGCAUCAAUUACAUCAAUAUCUUUAGUAUUUUCUAUAACAGAAGCAAUGCUAUCAUAUGUUUUGGGUAAACUGAUCAAUAACUUUUGCACAAUUCUCUGAUUACUAAGAUCUUCUCCAUAGCUUCGCAUCUGAUUUAUCAGAUCAAACAACCUAGCUAAAUAUGCAGCUAGAGAUUCACUUUCACUCAUACGGGUAUAUUCAAAAUCACGACGCAGACCUUGUAAUUUCACAGAUCGUACCUGUUUGUCCCUACACAUACUCUUGCUUCAGAAUAUCCCAAGCUUCUUUUGCAGUUUCCAAGGUUGCAAUGCGUGGAAAAAUUUGAUCCGAUACGGCUCCCUGAAUGAUUCCAAGAGCCCUUGCAUCCUUGACCAGAUUUUCACUCCGCAACUUCGUUUCCACCUCAGUGAGUUCUCCUUCCCCUUUCGCUGAAGUGGUAAAACCUUUUUCAACAAUAUUCCAUAACUCGUGAGAUCGGAAGAUUGUUUUCAUUCGAAUCUACCAGAAAUCGAAAUUUUCUCCGUUGAACACCGGAGCUCGAAGCUCCCCUCCACCAGAUCCAGCCAUGUUAGACUUAGAUCACACCUCUCUCUACUAUUUUCUUUGCAACGAUGUGUUGCAAACACUUGCUCACUAUCUCUCACAGAAUCGACGCCCAGAGAUUCAGACCCAACAAGGCUCUGAGGCCAUGUUAGAAUAAGAAGAAAAUGUAGUACAACAAUGGAGGAUAUGCUGCAAUGACUAGAGUGAGAGAGAGAGAAAGAAGAGAGCAGAGAAUAUGACACUGCAAUUCUUUUCACACGCACUGUUUGAUUGCUCACUUAGUGAAAGAGGAACAUCUCUCUACACUUAACAGUUACACUUCCAAACUUUUGGCAGUAUUCAAAAUUACAUCCAAGUAAUCCUAGCCAUCCAUCUUACACCCUAUGAGAUGAAGACACAUGUACACUCACUUACUUAAGAACUAAGAGACUUAGAUAAGAAAGCAUACAACCAAUUUAGCUAAUCAUCCUAGCAAUAUAAGCUAGAAAUACAACUACCACAUCAGAUCACAAUUUACACACUAACAAUAAUUACAAGUUUUACACAAGUGACCAUUUAUUACAAUGGUGGAAAGGUGUUAAAAGCUUUUGCAUGACGGUGUGAGUUCGAACCUCGUCGGUUGUUAAUCUACAAACCCCGUCGGUAGUUAAUCUAACUUCUAAUCUAAUAAAAUCUAUUUUUUGACCAAAAAAAAAUAAUUACAAGUUUUACUAAAAAUUUAGGGGUGUGAUAUCUACACACCCCUUUUUACUUCUCUCACAUCUUUUUGAUUUUCGACCGUCGGAUCGGAUGAAUUGAAGAAGAUCAACGGACAGAAAUUAAUAAGGAUGUGUGAGAAGUAAAAAAAGGUGUGUAGAUAGCACACCUCAAAAUUUACCGGAAGACUUGAUCACCCAUUUGUAUGCUGACAACGGUGACUAGAUUCACAACCUCUUUCCCACGUAAAUCACAUCAUCCAAUUUUAUUUUUCUUACAACAUAUCACGUAUCUGUCAUAUGUAAGACUUUUUUGGAAUAUGGAGCGUGAAAUUGCAGCGGAAGCAUCCUAGAUUUUUGAUCGAAUAUUGAGUUUGGUUUCAUGACAGACUUCCUGGAUCAAACACACCCUAAAAAAAUAUAUAAAAAACCAAUAAGGUCAUGGUGAUACGACAUCAUUUUAAGAGGAAAGGUAAAAACAAUCUAGUUUCUAUACUAGGAAGAUUCACUCGAACAAAUUCUUGGAAACUAUGACUCAAACAAAAUUCUAGGAAUUCAGUAUUUUUAACAAAUGAUAAACGUUUAAGAUAUAUUCUUUAUAAUAUUAGAGAAAUCGAACGGUUGAUCUAUAACUCGCAAAGUGGUUGUAGCUCAAGUAAUUUUACUCCCCAAUUUUACAUAAAACAUAAAAUAAAAACAAAUCCUAAUUUACAUGGUAAUUUUUUUUCAUAGCUAGGGACAACUUCGACUAUGGUAAUGCAAUUAAUAUACACUAGUUUUGGAUGGAGAAGUUUCAAGAUUGAGCAUGGGAUGGGGAGGGGCGAGAGACUUGGAUGGAGAGUGAGGUUUUAUGAGUUAAACAGUGAUGCAAGGAUGUAUUACUUAAAACUUUAGAGACCGUAUGUUGGGCUAUAUAUAAUUGUUUAACUCAUAAACGUUUUGAGUGUUUCUAACAUAUGCUUAUCAAAAGCCUUCUCGUUCUAUCAAACAAUACGAAAAUUUUCAAUUGAAUGCAAGACAUACUAUUUUAUAUAUCACAGUACUUCAUGGAUCAUCAUCAUCACAUAUCCUUAAUUCAAAGGUAAUAAAUGAGCAUCUAGUUUUAUUUUUAUUUUAUUUUAUAUAGGGACUACAGAAGCAAGCACCCUUUGUAAAUUAAACUCUAAAACUUCUCAAGUAUCUUGAAAGGUGCCAAAAGCCAUCAGCCAACUCCAGUUGAUGCAUAACCUCCUACAUUUACAAAAACAGCGUCGCCGUUAAUUUAUUGACUUCUUCCCAGGACACAUACCAAUUUGCGAAAGUGGUUUGACUGAUGCUAAUUAGUCGAGUAAAGUACAGUCUUUUCAAUUAAGCAGAUGCAAAACACUUAGUUGAGGCACUACAAAUAUGAUUUUUACCUUUAAUUAACGCGCUUCAAAAUCUGAACUGGACAUGUAGUUUGCUGAAGCAACAGUUUCAAGUUGCUGAUUCCCACUUAUACCAGCCUCCACCGUCCUCCUUCCAACAAAAAAUGCUGGCUUUGUUGGUGAUGCUAAUCGAAAGCUUUCAUUUGUCAACAUAGAUAUGACAUCUGACAUGGUAGGGCGAUCUGCUGCAUUUUCUUCUACGCAAAGCAGACCGACAUGGAUGCAUCUUAACAGUUGCUCUUUAAUAAACGAAUUUCCUAAUGUUGGAUCCGUUAAUUCUAGCCCUGCACCUUUUUUCCAUAACUCCCAUGCCUGAAGAACAAGGAUUGCAUUUCAUUCUAAAGAAGAAAAAAUAUGAUUAUAAAUUUUAAGAGAGAGAUUUGUUUGUCAUACAUAUCCUACUAAAUUGAGUGCGCGAUCGUCAUUGUAAAAGCUGUUGUUUUUCCUUCCACUUAUGAUUUCAAGCAUCAAUACCCCGAAACUGUAGACAUCAGACUUUACAGAAAUAAUUCCCCCCACGGACUCUGGAGGCAUGUAACCACUGCACGAAAUGAAAAAGAAAAUUAGUCAGUAUACUUAUCUGGAAAAAUGCGUGUUUAGCAGUCAAAAGGGGAGGACCACGUCAAUGUGAUGCAGAAAUACUUACAGUGUCCCCACAACCUUUCUAGUGUUUGCUUCCAAUUCAUUUUGGGUGAAAAUCCUUGCCAUACCAAAAUCUGAAAUUUUUGGGUUCAUGUUUUCAUCAAGUAGUAUGUUACUAGCUUUUACAUCUCUAUGAAUUACUUUCUUUCUUGAGUAUUUGUGCAGAUAAAGCAACCCUUGAGCAAUUCCUUCGAGAAUGCUAAAACGCUUCUUCCAAUCUAGUAGUAGACCUCUGAUUGGAUCUGUCCAAUAUGUAGAGUUAAGUAGGACUAAUAUUAAUUAAUAGUAGUACUCUAUGAACUUUGACAGUAAAAUAAAAAUCAGAUAGUAAAUUUAACAAAUGAAAUCAAGUAUCUUGGUUCCUCACCAAAUAAAAAGUGGUCCAAACUUUUGUUCUGCAGAUACUCAUAUAUCAACAUCAUUUCUUCACCAUGAAUGCAAAAUCCGAAAAGGUGAACCAGGUUUGUAUGUUGGAGUUCAUAUAUAAGUAUCAGUUCAUUCUUGAAUUCUGAUGUUCCUUGCCCUGAACAUUUCGAAAGCCUCUUCACAGCUAUUUCUUGUCCCGCCGCCAAUUUCCCCUGAAUUGAUAAUCCAUAUCAUGUUUUUGCUGUCAUCUUUAGGCAAAUGAAGCUAAUUCCUUUUUUUUUUCUUACAGCUUUUGAAUUAGAACUUGGGAGCAGCCUCUCCAUAAAUGGGGGUAAGGCUAGCCGACAUUCACCUCUCCCAGACCCUGCGUAAAGCGGGAGCCUUGUGCACUGGGUACGACAGCUUUUGAAUUAGAAGCAGAAAUUUUUUUUUUUCAAAAUGUUACCUUAAACCGGUCCAAACCCUCCUUGUCCUAGCUUGUUUUCUUCAGCAAAGUUGCUUGUGGCAGCCACGAUGGAUGAAUAGCUAAAAACGCUAAAAUCAUGAUGUCGCUUAGAUUUCAUGAAGAUAAUCAUUUCGUUCUCAAUCGUUGUCCGGUUCUCACCUAUACAGAUCAAUUAUAAGAAAUUAAAGUUUCAAUGGAGACAACAAUUGUCAAAGAUGUGAUUAAUAAUCCUGUCUUAUGUUGGAUUAUGUGGCCAAGUGGCCAUAUACUUUAGAUUAAACAAACCAAAGGUGGACAACACCUUUCCUUGUUUUGGGGAGGAAAAUAGGGAAAAGGUUUUUUGUCUUGGUCCAUGGGAAGUCACGGUUGAGGUUUUGAAUAAUAAGUUUUGGUUGUAAUGAGAAGUAAGAGUGGGAUAGAAGAGAAGAAAAUAGAGUGCAGAAAAUUGAGAGAGCCGAAGAGAAGAGAGGGAGAGAAAGAAGGUACUGCUACAGUACCAUUUUCAGAGAAGGGGUUGUUGUUCCUUUCAUUGGAUAAUUCUCACUCCAUCAAAGUGUUAUUGUUGUAAUAGCUUUGAGCUUUGUAUAGAGAAGAAAUUAAUCACUAUAUUUCUUUCUCUAUUUGUUUCUUUGGAGUGUGAGUUAUUGGGUUAUUUGGGUUGUGAGAUUGCCAACACUUUGUAAACUCCCAUUUGGUUGAUAGUGGAUUCUUGGGUGAGCUCCUACUGCUCCGAGGACGUACUCUAGUUACACUGACUGUUGAGGAACCUCGUUAAAAUCUUGGUGUCUUUAAUAUUUUGUUCUUGCAUUUUAUUUGAUAUAUUUCCUGUGGGUUAGCUUGAGUUGGUUCCACAAGGGUUUGGUGCUAUCCUAGCACAACAAUUGGUAUCAGAGCACUGGUUGCUCUUGGGUACUGUCUAGUUGCCAAAAAUGUCAGACGGGCAAGAUGAAAAUCCUUUUGGAAGCAGCUCCGGGUUUGCAAGAACGACGGUGCAAAAUGCAAAGUUCGAAGUGGAAAAGUUUGAUGGCACACAAACAACUUCGGGAUGUGGCAAUGUGAGGUCAAAGAUGUGUUGGCUCAACAAGAUCUACUUGCCGCGUUGGGAGAGAAGCCGGAAACUAUGUCGAAGCCGGAAUGGGAAAAAUUAAAUUUGUGGGCUUGCUCUUCAAUUCGGUUGUGCCUUGCAAAAACUCAGAAGUAUUUUGUGAUGCGGGAGACGGUAGCAAGUGUGUGUUGUGGCAAAAAUUGGAAGACAAGUAUAUGACAAAGAGUGCAGAGAACCGACUACACUUGAAGAAAAAAGCUCUACCGCUUCCAAUACAAAGAAGGUACAAAAAUGAUUAGACACCUUGAUGCUUUUAAUAAGUUGAUUGCCGACUUGUUAAAUUUAGAUGAGGAUAUUAAGGAUGAAGAUAAGGCCUUAAUAUUGUUGAAUUCCUUGCCGGACUCUUAUGAGCAUUUUGUUACAACUAUUAUGCAUGGUAAAGAAACUGUGAAAUUUGAAGAUGUGUCAAAUGCCUUGAUGAAUUAUGAAAUGAGGCAUAGAGAUAAAAAUCAUGAUAGUACCUCUGAAGCUUUAUUUGUUAGAGGUAGAUCAUCGGAGAGGAGGUCAUCUUCUAGCAGGAAAAAAUCACAGUCUCGACCUAGAGGAAACUCUAAAGGUAGAAAACCUUUGGAAAGGGAUGAAUGUGCCUUUUGUCGUAAUAAGGGCCAUUGGAAGAAAGAUUGUCCCAAAUUGAAGACCAAAGGAAAAGAAAGUUCUGAAGCUAAUGUUGCUGAGGUUGAAACAGAUUUUUCUGAUUUUGCUUUAACCACUUCCUCAUCAUUUGAUUGUGCUACUAAGUGGGUGUUGGAUACGGGUUGUACUCAUCAUAUGACUCCUCACAAGGAUUGGUUUUCAAGCUUGAAAGAGUUUUGAUGGUGGCGUUGUGUUCAUGGGAGAUGACAAUCCUUGCACAACAAAAGGGAUUGGUACAGUUCGUUUGAAGUUGCAUGAUGGCAUGGUUAAAGAGUUGACAGGUGUUCGGUAUGUACCGAAUUUGAAGAAAAAUCUUAUUUCUUUGGGUACUUUGGAAUCUAAGGGUUUCAGGUUUCAUUCAGAUGGACAGACAUUGAAAGUUACUUAUGGUGCACUUGUUGUGAUGAAAGCUCCUAGAUGUGGCCAUUUGUAUUUAUUGCAGGGAAGCACUGUGACAGGUGAAGCAUCUGUAGUCUCUGAAAAUAUGGGCACAUCUGAUUCAGAUACUACUAGAUUGUGGCAUAUGAGAUUAGGCCAUGCCGGUGAGAAAGCUCUACAAGGGCUUGUGAAAAAAUGUCUUCUAAAAGGUGCCACGACUUGUAAGCUUGAUUUCUGCGAGCAUUGUGUCUUGGGAAAGCAAACUAGAGUGAAGUUUGGUACUGCUGUACAUCAGACGAAGGGCAUUCUUGAUUAUGUGCAUUCGGAUGUUUGGGGUCCUACAAAGACUCCCCUCUUUGAGUGGUAGACAUUGGUUCGUGACCUUUGUUGAUGAUUAUUCAAGAAGGUCUUGGGUCUACACUAUGAAGCAUAAGAGUGAGGUGUUAAGCAUUUUCUUGGGUUGGAAGAAAAUGGUUGAGAACCAGACUGGGAGAAAGAUUAAGAUUUUGAGAUCGGAUAAUGGUGGUGAAUACACAUCCGAUCCUUUCUUUAAAGUUUGCAAAGAGGAAGGAAUUGUGAGACAUUUCAGUGUUCGGGGAACUCCACAACAAAAAUGGAGUUGCAGAAAGAUUGAAUCGAACCUUGCUUGAGAAAGGUUAGAUGUAUGUUGUCUCAGUCGGGUUUAAGCAAGUCAUUUUGGGCAGAAGCAGUUAAUUAUGCAUGUCACAUCAUCAACCGGUUACCCUCAGCUGCUAUUCAGGGUAAGACACCAAUGGAGGUAUGGACUGGAAAACCUUCUUCUGAUUAUGAUCAUAUUCGUAUUUUUGGUUCACCUGCUUAUUUUCAUGUAACUGAAAAUAAACUUGAUCCUAGAGCCAAAAAGGCUAUCUUUCUUGGUUUUAGUAGUGGUGUCAAAGGUUACAGGUUGUGGUGUCCAGAGAUGAAGAAACUGGUAAUUAGUAGAGAUGUGACAUUUGACGAAGAAAGUAUGUACAAAGUCUCUGAGAAGAAUGUGAAAGAUGUCCAACAGGUGGAGCUUGAGAAAGUUGCUUCUGGUACUUCAAAUCCUAUUUCCGCUGAUGUCGAAGCCACUACAAGUGAAGAAGUUGGAGACCAUGAGGAUGUUGAAGAAGUUGAACUUGAAGAUUCUAUUCAAGUUGAAGAGCAAGUUUCACCUCAAGAGUCUAUUGCCAAGAACAGAGGAAAGAGACAAAUUACUAAGCCAGCUCGGUAUAGUGAUUAUGUUGCUUUUUGCUCUUCCUAUUAUCACUGAAGAGAUUCCAUCCAAUUUUGAGGAAGCUAUUGAGAGUGAGGAGAAGAAUAGGUGGUGCAAUGCCAUGGGUGAUGAGAUGAAUUCUCUCUUGAAGAACAAGACUUGGGAGUUAGCUAAAUUGCCUAAGGGCAAGAAAGCUAUUGGUUGCAAAUGGGUGUAUGCCAAGAAGGAAGAUGCUGAUGAGAAAAGCAAUGUGAGAUUUAAAGCAAGAUUAGUUGCUAAAGGGUAUGCACAAAAGGAGGGCAUUGACUACAAUGAAAUCUUUUCUCCGGUUGUGAAGCACUCCUCAAUUCGCAUUAUGUUAGCUCUUGUUGCACAGUAUGAUCUUGAGCUUGUGCAACUUGAUGUAAAAACGGCUUUCCUACAUGGUGAUUUGAAUGAAGAGAUUUAUAUGUGUCAACCAGAUGGGUAUAUAGUGAAAGGGAAGGAGAAUUUGUUUUGCAAAUUGAAGAAAUCACUUUAUGGUUUGAAGCAAUCUCCAAGGCAAUGGUAUUUGAGGUUUGAUAAAUUUAUGAGAGGCCAAAAUUAUUCUAGAAGUCAAUAUGAUCAUUGUGUGUACUUCAAGAAGUUGCAAGAUGGGUCUUUCAUUUAUUUAUUGAUAUAUGUUGAUGAUAUGUUGAUUGCCUCAAAGAAUGUCGAAGAGAUUGAGAAAUUGAAGAAGCAAAUGAAGAAUGAGUUUGAGAUGAAGGAUCUUGGUGAAGCGAAGAAGAUCCUUGGCAUGGAGAUCACUAGAGAUAGAGCAAAGGGUUUCGUCAGUUUGAAUCAAAAACAAUACCUUGAGAAGUUGAUUCGGAAGUUUGGAGUUCAUGAUUCAACCAAACCGGUUAGUACCCCUUUGGCUCCUCAUUUUAAAUUGAGUUCUCUACAAUGUCCUAAAAUCGAUAAAGAGAAACUGCAAAUGAAAAAUAUACCAUAUGCAAAUUUGGUUGGUAGUUUGAUGUAUGCAAUGGUAUGCUCUAGACCGGAUAUUGCUCAUGCAGUUGGCAUGGUGAGUCGAUAUAUGCAUAAUCCAAGUAAAGAGCAUUGGCAAGCAGCUAAGUGGAUAUUGAGGUAUCUCCAUGGUACUCGAGAUGUUGGUUUAUGCUUUGAGAGGGAUGACUCUGGUAUUGGUCAUUUUGCAGUUGGUUAUGUUGAUUCAGAUUAUGCAGGUGAUCUGGAUGGAAGGAAGUCUACUACAGGCUAUGUGUUUACUAUGGCUAAAGGGCCAGUUUGUUGGAGGUCCAUUUUGCAGUCGUCUGUUGCCUUGUCUACUACAGAGGCUGAAUAUAUGGCAGUUGCUGAAGCUAUAAAGGAGGCCAUUUGGAUACAUGGGCUUAUUAGAGAUUUGGGGGUUGAUCAGAAGCAGGUGGAGGUACAUUGUGAUAGUCAGAGUGCCAUUUAUUUGGCUAAGUAUCAGGUUCAUCAUGCGAGGACCAAGCACAUAGAUGUGCGUUAUCACUUUGUUCGUGAAAUUGUUGGUGAAGGGGAAAUCAUUCUCCAGAAGAUUCCAACUAAAGACAACCCCGCUGAUAUGUUGACUAAGGUUGUUGGUGUAGCCAAGUUUGUUCACUGUUUGAACUUGGCUCACAUUUUGCCUAUAUAAAGAAGGCGUUGAGUAGUAGGAGUUUUGGAGCAUUUGGCUCAGCAUGAGUUGUUCUCUUGCUAGUGUUUGGGAGUGAUGUUGUGUGCUAAUUGUGUUGGUUGGCUUAUCAUGGCGUUUUCGGAACUUGGCCAAGGUGGAGAUUGUUGGAUUAUGUGGCCAAGUGGCCAUAUACUUUAGAUUAAACAAACCAAAGGUGGACAACACCUUUCCUUGUUUUGGGGAGGAAAAUAGGGAAAAGGUUUUUUGUCUUGGUCCAUGGGAAGUCACGGUUGAGGUUUUGAAUAAUAAGUUUUGGUUGUAAUGAGAAGUAAGAGUGGGAUAGAAGAGAAGAAAAUAGAGUGCAGAAAAUUGAGAGAGCCGAAGAGAAGAGAGGGAGAGAAAGAAGGUACUGCUACAGUACCAUUUUCAGAGAAGGGGUUGUUGUUCCUUUCAUUGGAUAAUUCUCACUCCAUCAAAGUGUUAUUGUUGUAAUAGCUUUGAGCUUUGUAUAGAGAAGAAAUUAAUCACUAUAUUUCUUUCUCUAUUUGUUUCUUUGGAGUGUGAGUUAUUGGGUUAUUUGGGUUGUGAGAUUGCCAACACUUUGUAACUCCCAUUUGGUUGAUAGUGGAUUCUUGGGUGAGCUCCUACUGCUCCGAGGACGUACUCCAGUUACACUGACUGUUGAGGAACCUCGUUAAAAUCUUGGUGUCUUUAAUAUUUUGUUCUUGCAUUUUAUUUGAUAUAUUUCCUGUGGGUUAGCUUGAGUUGGUUCCACAAGGGUUUGGUGCUAUCCUAGCACAACAUCUUACUGGUGCACAUGAUUUAAAGAAAUAUACCAGCUGAUGCAAGGGCUGAUCUUCUUCGUUGGAGUAGAUAGUACGCGGUGCAAAGCACUAGAGCAGCAGCUAUAGAAAUGCCAAUCCAAACCCAUUUAUCUGCUGCAUCAUAAACAAUUAGCUAGCAACAUAUGCAAUCAGCGUAACACACACGCACAUGUACGCAUUAAUUGUCUUCAAUUUUUGGAUGAACUAGGUCUUGCAGGUUUCUUCCAGAAAACGAAGAAAAAUCCGAGACAGAGAGCAGAACUUAAGACAACAAUAACAAAGAUAGAGGUACCUAAUAAUACUGAUUCCACGCGUGUCACAGAUUUCCGGCUUAAAUCGGGUUUGCAGCCUCGGUAUAUAUCCUUCGGAUCAAGAAAAGAAAACCCUUUUGGGCAUUCGCAGGUUGGCCUUUUAUCUGGUUUGAGCUUACAGGUACUGUUGUAACCGCAAACACCAACGCCCAGUCGUAGGCAAAUAUCAUCCGGCAUAUACACCAGAGGACUAAUCCAGCUUGCAUUUCCAGUGAAGUAUUUCGGGUGAGAAUAUAAAGCGAAAAUCCCAUCAAAAUCAAGAGUUGCCCUUAUGUAGUUGUCCCUCACCGACACUCCCUCUGUCCCCUUAAGAGGGACUCUUCCAUCAUUUUCUCUCAGAACAGACAUGUCCCCUGAGCUGCUGAACACCAAUUCUUUGCCUUGACUACCUGGCACGUUCCCUGCGGUGGUCUUCGUGGAGAAGUAAGCUUUCUUGGCCUUAUCUGUUGUCAAGUUGACGGAAAUGAGCACGAGGUUUCCAUCAUCUUGCAAGCGCAGCUGGAACCGCCCUUUUGUGUAGUUAGUCUCCGAUUGUCUACACGAAAGCUUCCCAUUUCUCUCAAUUGUCUGUCCAGGCAAAACGGUGUCUGUAGGAUUGCUGAAGGUCUCCCACAAGCUCCCCGAGUUUUGGUGUUGAAGGACAAAGUUUCCGGUGUCAUUCAUGACCCCGUUCGCAACAGUCCCCAAGGUUAUUUCGGAUUUCCAUAUCUCUCCACCCUGAGGAUUGUUAAGAACUAGUCCACUGUUGGCAGUCAAGUUCAGAACUGAUCCCCUAGGUGCAACCAUGGGGUUGUUACCGUCGUAUGCAUACCAAACCACGGUUUUGUCUGGGAUAUUCGCAUACCAUAUCGAAAGCAAGAAAAGAUCAUUGUUUCCGAGGGGCGAAAAUCCAAACUCGAAAUCACCGGAUGGAGAAAGCCAUGAUGAGGAGUCGCCUAUAGUUGCAGUUAGAGAACUCCCAACUGCUACUCUUCCAUUAUUUUGGGAAAUCACAGAAAUUGGUAGCAAAAACAAAGAGAACAAAAGCAUCUCUACAGAAAGAGCCACUGCCAUUGCAAAAGCACCAAUUUUUCAACUUGGCUUAACUGAUUAGCUAUAUUUCUUAGUAAAGCAUUGGUCCUUGUUUAUAUCUUCAAGUAAAUGUGUGUGCAUGUGCCUGUCAUUUUCUAAGUUUUUGCCUGGAAUCAUUUUUUGAAGUCAAUGUUACCCAUCAGCCACGAUAUGACCUCAGACCUCGCUACAUCACACACAAUAAUAUCUCCGGGCCUACAGAAUAAUUUCUCCAAACCUACACAUAUCACAAGAAUUUCACUUUGAAAAAAAUAAUAUAAUGAACAGUUUUAUAUAUAAGACACCGAUACCGAUACUUUUUGUGAUAGAACUUAUUGUCUCUCUCAAUUCCUUGUAAUGUUGCAAGUUGGAGCAAUAUUGAUGUAAUUAGUAAUGGCCCGCUAACUUGCCUCUCUCAAAUCUCUUUUCAUCCUACUCUCGUCCCUCGUCCGUUUUAUGAUUCUACUUAAUUAAGCACUUAUAAGUGUUCCAAAUCAAACUUGUAACUUAAAUAAUUAAAAAUAUUUAUCACUACACUGGGGAUUCUAGGUUCCAAAAUAUAAUAUAUAAUAUAUAUGAAUGUUCCAAACCAAAAGGACAAGUAAAUACGAGCAUGACUCACGCUGCAUGUGUCGGCCAUUCAAGUCCACAAGUCAAAAUUCAACAAUGGGGCCCACAAAGAAAAUUUGAAAAAGUACAUGCAGAUUGAGGACGUAUACAAAGAAUCUGAAAACAAACCUCCAGGACCAAACAAAGACGACUAAGUCUCCAUUUCUGUAUUCACACAAACCAAAGUACUAACUGAAGUUUUUAAUGUAUGAUUACGUCAUUGGGGUAAAACACCCGAGGCCGAGUUGAGAUAAUCACAGGGUUGGGGAAUCGAGAUCCUCUCCGAAUGUCACAGUCUGGCACAAACGAACGUAGAGAUCCGAACCACUUAUUUUAAAUUCUACGGUCUUCAUUAGCCUAUCCUAUUGGCCCACAUCACACAAGGGGCCCAAAUCUUUCUCUCCCCUCUCUUGAACGGUUUGGAUAUCUCGGUCUGUCGAUUUUGGAUUGGGAGAUUCAAAGAGAAUUUGAUUUCGGGUUUGAGGUGUGGUUCGCCGACCAUUUGAAGCUCGUUGAGGCGUGGCCCAUCUCAUCCACGUCGGGAUAGCCAUUUCGUACCAAGUUGGAUCCCAGGUCAGGCCAGUCAUUUCAUUAGCCUAAGAUAGACCUGACAGACGAGGCGCUUGGAUAUUGCCUACCGCGACCAAAUGGACCCAUGGGCUCAUUAGAUGAUGAGUCUGGACCCUGGGGUGUGUAAAGCCCACCUCAGCUCGAUCCAUAUUCGGUCGAUACUUAAGGGAAGGUGGAUAUGGGGUAAAGGUAGAGUAAGCUCCAAGCCAUGUGGAGGUCAGUCGAGAUUGAACACACAUUCAUAGAAUCAUAGUAUGAAAUUCAAGUCCAAAUUUUAACACUACGAAACCGAAAAGCAUGCAACUCCGAAGAGCAUUGUUUCAGUCCAACAACCUAAACUUCCUUAAAAAACUAAGACAAAAACGACGACACUAGUAAACGGAAAAACAUGCAACUCAGAAAACCAUUGCUCUAGUCUAAAUGAGGUUCCUCAAUGCCUCAAGCUUUUCUAAACACCAUAGCCUGAACCUUUUCCUUUGCGCCUUCUUUGCUUCACCAGAAACGUUCUUAAUGAGCUUCCUUCAAAUUUGGGACGAGCAGGCAUUAGGCUGUGCACAAUGCUGUAAAUGCCCCUAGCCCUUGCCACACCCUAGGUGCGUACGCUUGCAUGUCCGACCUGAGUUAUCUCAUUACGCGCGCAGUUUGAUCUUCCCGUAUUGACAUCCCUGCUGUCUAUUCUCAUGCGAAUCCUUUUGCUGGUGACUUCAUCCGGGUCCAUUUUCUUGCUCCUCAGUGCAUGUUCAUCUGCUUUUCCCUAUUAAUAAAUAUAGGAAUCCCAUAACAAACAGCAUUUGACAAAACAGAACGUAAUAAUAACAACAAAACUUGACUUCAUCCUCAUUGCAUGUUCAUCUGCUUUUCCACUUCAAAGCAGCUGACGGCACGAUUCGUACUUGGACUCCAAGAUGUCUAGAUUAUGGAGAAACUAUCCCUUUGUCCAAAACACACAAAGAAGUGGAUUUUCCGUUUAUACCAAGUGUGUUGAAGCAUGUCCCACAUGGCCACAUCGGAAACUUGUUGAAGUUUAAAUCCUCUUAUAUAGAAAGUUCGACUACUAAUUGCCUUGAGGCCUUAAUUUUGUAUAAAACCAUACCUAUUGAAUUGCACACGUGCUUAAGUUAAGGUUAGUAUUAAUGGUAAUUAGUAGUGGGCCGCUGGUCGUCUUCAAAAAACUGGUACAAAGGGAAGAUUUAUAGAAGCAGUGUUGAGAUAAAGGCAAUUCAUCUGUUCUUUUUAGAAGGAUAUAAAUGAAGCAAGGUUUAUCUGCUCACCCGUAAUGCGGCUCAGCCCUUCAUCAAAAAGUGAAAUAUCAAAAUUACUUUUACAGCAAGAGCAAUACCAGAAGAUGUAAUCUAAAUUGUUUAUAUUUGGUUCCCUUGAAAUCCUUUUGACUGUUUCAACAUAGUAUAUGUUGGUAUUUAAAAGUUUAGAAACUUAAUACCAAUUAUGUGGGUGAUAGGUUUUCUAACUCUAUCACACCUCUAUCUCUUUUACUCUCUUUGAAAAUGGAUCGAUAGAAAGAAAAAACAGCAAGCUUCUUAAAGAAACAAGUACUUGAUAUAUUAAAAGAGUUUCAACUCUAUUGCUGAAAAUAUGGAAUGGAAUUACAAAGAGCCUUACGGAAAGGCAUUCUUAUACUUGCAAAAAACAAGAGAACCACACAAGUGGUUUUCAUAAACAAAUGCAAACAAAGACUUUCUAGACUUAGCUAGUGGAAAACUAUCCAUGCAAAAUAAAAUAAAGGGGUUCAAAGUCUUUACUUGCAGCAGUUUUAGACUAUUGAACACACACACACACACACUACUUUAUUCUAGUGGUUUACAACCACAUUUCGGCUAGCACAGAAGAGAAGCAUUAAUUUGGGUAAGUGCAGGAAGUAUGAGUCAAAAGAAACAGCUAGCAGCCCACUAACAUUGAAAUAAUGUUUUUAUUUGAACUUCCAACACUCCCCCUCAAAUCAAAACACCUUCAUUCCUAGCAUGUCAUGCAGCAGCCGGAAUGAUUCAAUUGGCAGUGGCUUUGUGAAGAUGUCAGCCACUUGUUCCUUGGUGUGACAAUAGAUAAGCUCAAUUAUCUUUUGCUUCACAUGAUCCCUCAGAAAAUGGAACCUGGUAUCGAUGUGCUUGCUCCUUCCAUGUUGAACAGGAUUCUUUGCAAGCUUGAUUGCAGACAUGUUAUCCACAUGAAUCACAGUAGAUUCCACUUGUGGAUGACAUAAAGAUUUCAACAGAUUUCUUAACCAAAUUGCCUCACACACAGUUAAGGCUGCAGCAACGUACUCGGCUUCACACGAUGACAGAGCAAUAAUUGAUUGCUUCUUUGAAGUCCAUGAGAAAGCUGUUGAUCCUAGAAAAAACACAUAGCCAGUUGUACUUUCCCUUUCAUCUUGGUCACCUCCCCAAUCACUAUCUGAAUAACCAAAUAAUUUUGCAUCUUCACCAAAAUUAUAAAACAGACCAUAGUUUAGAGUGCCUCUUAUGUACCUUAAAAUUCUCUUGGCAGCCAACCAAUGAGACUCAUUUGGUGUUUCCAUGUACCGACUCACGAGUCCAACACCAUAAACUAUAUCUGGUCUUGUGAUUGUAAGGUACCUCAAGCUUCCAACGAGGCUUUUGUACACGGUUGAGUUUACAAGCUCACCUUCUCCUUCCUUGGACAGUUUCAAUCCAGUUGCAACUGGAGUGUUGACAAUAUUGCACUUGUCCAUAUUGAAUUUCUCCAAUAUAUCUCUCAUGUACUUUUGUUGAGAGAUGUAGAUACCGUUACUUUCUUGCUUCACCUCUAUGCCAAGAAAGUAUGACAUUAAUCCAUUGUCAGUCAUCUCGAAUUCACUGAACAUGGAUUGCUUGAACUCACAGAACAUUGCUUCAUUGUUUCCUGUAAACAACAAGUCAUCUACAUAGAGACAAAUAAUUAAGAACUCCCAUUUUUCACCGUUCUUCAUGUAAACUGAAUGCUCGUAUGGACAUUUCUGAAAUCCAUUUUGGUGAAGGUAGUUAUCAAUCCUUGAGUUCCAAGCUCGUGGUGCUUGCUUGAGGCCAUACAAAGCCUUUUUCAAAUGAUACACCUUAUCUUCUUCUCCUUGUACUCGGAAGCCUUCCGGUUGUUUCACGUACACUUCUUCCUCAAGAACUCCAUUAAGGAAGGCUGACUUGACAUCUAGUUGAUAAAUUUUCCAUUUAUGAUGAGUGGCAAGAGAGAUUAGCAAUCUUACCGUGUCAAGUCUUGCAAUUGGAGCAUAGACUUCAUCAUAGUCCACUCCAUACUUCUGUUUGUAGCCCUUUGCUACAAGCCUUGACUUGUAUCAAUCCACACUCCCAUCUGCAGUGCGUUUGAUCUUGUACACCCACUUGACACCAAUAGCCUUCUGAUUUGGUGGGAGCUUUGUCAACUCCCAAGUGUCAUUCUUCUCGAUGGCAUGGAUUUCUUCCUCCAUGGUUAUUCUCCAACGAUCUUCUUCCACAGCUUCAUUGAAUGAGAGAGGCUCGUGGUCUACAUACAAGCAGAAAAAAUUGGUUUCUUCUUCUUCUUCUUGUCCAUAUAUCUCGGUGAGACUUCUUAGCCUCACUGGAGUUGAUGAGCUGCUUUCCUCACUGGAUGUAGGACCACUCCUUGCAAUUCUGUGCACUGGAGUUAUUGUGGUUAUUUGAGCAGGUUGUUGCUAGAUAGGUGGUACAACUUCUGGUUCUUCAAAAUCAGUGGAAACAAUCUUCUCUUUACUGACUUCUUUGUUGUUCCACUUCCAUGCAUCUUCCUCACUGAAGAUGACAUCUCCACUAACCACUAAUUUGCCAGUUAGUGGGUUGUAGAGCUUAUAUGCCUUUGACUCUUCACUAUAGCCCACAAACACACACUUUUCACCUCGAUUAUCAAGCUUCCUCCUCUUGGCUUCUGGAACCUGAGCAUAUGCAACACACCCAAAAACUCUUAGGUGUGCAACAUUCGGCUUGUAUCCACUCCAAGCCUCUUGUGGUGUCAUCCUCUUGACACUCUUUGUUGGACAUCGAUUCAACAAAUAAAUUGAACAAGCUACAGCUUUUGCCCACAAUUCUUUUGGCAAAUUCUUCUCCUUAAGCAUGGACCUUGCCAUGUCAAGGAUGGUUCGAUUCUUUCUUUCGGCUAUUCCAUUUUGCUGUGGGGUAUAGGCAGUAGUCAGUUGAUGCCUAAUUUCUUGCUCCUUGCAAUAUGCUUGGAAAGCAUUGGAGGUGUACUCUCCACCUCUAUUUGAUCUCACAGCCACAAGCUUGUGGUUGCUUUCAGCCUCUGUGAGUGCCUUGAACUCCUUGAAAACUUUUAGGGCAGCUGACUUCUCCUUGAGAAAAUAGACCCAAGUCUUCUUACUGAAAUCAUCAAUGAAGGUAAUAAAAUACCUAUUACCUCCAUAGGACAUAGGAUCUAACGGACCACAUAUAUCCGUAUGUACCAACUGCAGUGGUGCUUUUGCUCUCCAUGCAUCACCAACAGGGAAUGUGAGCCGUGUUUGCUUGCCAAGCACACAACCUUCACAUACUUGGCGUGUGGCUUCAAUCUGGGGUAGACCACGAACCAUUCCUCCACUUGACAGCAACUUUAGGCCAUUGAAAUGAAGAUGGCCAAACCGAAGAUGCCAUUUCCAUGACUUAUCUUCCAUUACACCGAUGUUGCAACUCCCAAUCCUUGUGUUCAACUUCAAUGGGAACAUUCGGUUCUUUGACAUUUGAACACGUGCAAUAAGUUUUCUCCUUGCAUUCCUAAGAGUGAGAAACAUAUCCUCCAUAUGUAUAAUAUACCCUUUCUGGAGCAGUUGACCAACGCUCAGAAUGUUGCUCUUCAUACCUGGUAUGUAGUAGGUAUCGAAGAUGUAUUCUUCUCUACCAUCCUUCUGGAUGAUUUUGAUCUUUCCUUUGCCUUCAACUGGCAACUUUGAGGAGUCACCAAGACUCACAGAUCCAUAAGGCCCAUCUUUGAGUUCGGCAAAAAACUCUUUCUUUCCACACAUAUGGUUGCUUGCACCAGAGUCCAAAUACCAAACAUCUUGUUGGUUACUGGAAUCAUGGUGUGCUAGUAAGACUGUAAAUUCCUCACCAGCAUUUCCACUUGAUUCUGCCAUGUUGACAUGCUCACCAUUUUUAUAUGAACAUUCACCUUUCCCAGACCCUGCGUAAAGCGGGAGCCUUGUGCACUGGGUACGACCUUUUUUUUUUUUUUUAUUCAUUGGCAUAAUGUCCAUAUUGCUUGCAACUGUGACACUGGAUAUGUGCCUUUCCUCGAGUAGAUCUGCAUUCUUGAGACUGAGCUCGAUUUUGUGCAUAGCCUCUACCUCUUCCUCGGGCUCGUCCUCGGCUACAGUUGGAUGAAUUCCCACGACGUGAGUUCCACUGCCCACGACCUCCAUUUGGUUUGUCAAUAUUCAACUUUGACUCCAAAGCUUGCUCUAGCGUUGUGGGGCUUGCAUUCUUCUGAAUGCGUUGCUCGUGAACUAUGAGGGAUCCUAGUAGCUCCUCUGCGCUCAUCGCCUCCAAAUCCUUGGAUUCCUCAAUGGCAGUCACCACAUGCUCAAACUUAGAUGUGAGUCAUGUGAGUGACUGGAGUAUCUUCUCCACAACUCGUACUUCAUCGAGUCUCUCGCUAUUUAUCCUCAUCUGAUUUACUAUCACAAUGAGCCUUGAGUGAUAGUCGGAGAUGCUCUCCCCUUCAUUCAUGUGAGUAGUUUCAAAAUCUGCUCGAAGUGACUGUAACCUCACUUUCUUGACUCGAUCUACUCCUUUGUAGAUUGUACUGAGUGUGUCCCAUACUUGCUUGCUCGUUGUUGCUUCUGCAACCUUCUCAAACGUUGAAUCUUCUAGACCCUGGUAUAGAAGAUACAACGCCUUCUGGUCCUUCUUUCGUAAGUCCUUGAGAGUGUUCCUUUGUUCUGCAGUAUAUGCGGCUUCUUGAUUGGCAGUGGGUACAACAUACCCAUUACUGACAACUUCCCAUAGCUCCUGUGAUCCAAACAAUGCUUUGAAUUGGAUGCACCAUCUUUCAUAAUUUUCUUUCUUCAAUGUGGGAACCUGGAGCUGCACUAAGUUGGACGCCAUAACUGCUGCACUUGCCAGAAUGGUAUUCUGGCUCUGAUACCAAUUGUUGGUAUUCAAAAGUUUACAAACUUAAUACCAAUUAUGUGGGUGAUAGGUUUUCUAACUCUAUCACACCUCUCUCUUUCUUUUACUCUCUUUGAAAAUGGAUUGAUAGAAAGAAAAAACAACAAGCUUCUUAAAGAAACAAGUACUUGAUAUAUUAAAAGAGUUUCAACUCUAUUGCUGAAAAUAUGGAAUGGAAUUACAAAGAGCCUUACGGAAAUGCAUUCUUAUACUUGCAAAAAACAAGAGAACCACACAAGUGGUUUUCAUAAACAAAUGCAAACAAAGACUUUCUAGACUUAGCUAGUGGAAAACUAUCCAUGUAAAAUAAAAUAAAGGGGUUCAAAGUCUUUACUUGCAGCAGUUUUAGACUAUUGAACACACACACACACUACUUUAUUCUAGUGGUUUACAACCACAUUUCGGCUAGCACAGAAGAGAAGCAUUAAUUUGGGUAAGUGCAGGAUGAGUCAAAAGAAACAGCUAGCAGCCCACUAACAUUGAAAUAAUGUUUUUAUUUGAACUUCCAACACUAUAUGCAGAGAGAACCAGAACCAAGUCCAGACUCACUCGUAAUAGGUCUCUCCUCAUCCACAACAAUAUCCCAGCUUUCCCUUGUCGUGGUUUUCCCAUAUUUGUGCACCUUACUGCAAAGAGAGAGCAAGUUAACUUGUCAAAGAAAAACCAGAACAAUAGAUGCCAAUGCAGUUCAGAAAGUUUAUUUCCCUUCAUACCCAUUUCCAAAGUGCUCUUCUCCCCAUGUCCUUGACCAACCUAGACAUGAGAGAACAAAAACAAAGUCACAUCAGAUUAAAUUAUUGAAAGAAAAAGGUUCACUUACAAAUCGACAUUAGAAUCAAGCAACCACGCUAUGAAAUACAAAUUUAAAAUGUAACAAUUUACUGUGUCUGAAAGGAAUCUGUGAAAUAAAAUAGUUAAACCCUAAACAGCACCACUGCAAAUAGCAUAAGAAAAUUAAAAUUAACCCUAAAGAAAUUGGGAGAGAAGAAUAUGAAAAGGGAAUACCUUUCGGCCCUUUGAGUUAUUGGAAAAAACCCAACAGAGCAAAAGAUAAACAAAAAUACAGGAGGAAAGAAAAUAAAUUUUCAACUUGUAAGAUUCAUACACGAACAGAUUGGCGGUCAAAAGCAUUUCGAAACUCAGAGCCAUCAAGCUUUUUGAUCUGCAUGGAAAUUAUUUAUGAAGUUUGAGAUUCUUAUAGAUGCUUUAGACACAUCGACAUAUUGAAAAAGCAAUAUUCAACAACCUAGUACCCAUGCUCCCUAGAAGGGUACAGAAAAUAUGAAUGUCUGGACUCUGGAGUGAGAAAGUAAAAGGACUUGCCGCAUACUUCAUAUCUUCCAAGUUUGUGUAGUCUACAAUCCCUGUUGUGCCUACAAAAAAGGCAUAGGACAAAAGCUAAAUCAAUCGAAAUUCUGAUGUCUCAUGAUCUAGGUCUUAGGAUUAAACUACUGAAAUAACACUACAUGAAAUAGCUGUGUAUAUCCCAAAAAAAGUAUGAAAUCUGGUUGAUAAUUGAAGACUUCGAAGGGAUUUACCUUUGGAUUCUUUGGCUUUCAGAUGGAGUUUGCUUAUGUGUGGGGGAGAGAGGUGGAGCGGCUAGGGCUUGAGUAUGGAAGAGAUGAAAAAUGCAGAGAGCACCUGUUUUCGCUGAAGCAACUCACACACUCUGGACAAAUCUGCAAAUGUCUAAAAGGGGGAAAAUAUAAAAAGAAACCUUAACAACUGAAUUCAAAGAAACAUUAUUACAUUGUAAAUAACAUUUCACAAAAAAAAAAAAAAAAAAAAAAAACUGAACUAAACUAAUUACACUCGGAUUGCAAUGCUAUCAUUUAAUAAUAGGAAUUCCCAUAACUUAGCAGAAGACCUGCAUCUGCAAAGGAUUCUUUAAAACCUAUUUUUUUUGAACAACCCCGCACCUACAACACAUCCAGGCAAGGUAAACCAAUAGCACCCUCAUUCUAAGCUCUUCUGUGCAUAUAUACCCCUUAUAAGUAAUCUUAAUCAAUCAGUUAUCAUGAAUAUAGUCAGUUAUCACGAAUAUACAACUUAUAUUAAUUUUCUACAAUAUCCAACACACAAAUAUAACAGAAGAGGAAACUUUUACUUAAGCAGCACAAAAUGAUAUCCUUUGCAUUUCAUUCCAAAAUCCAUCACUCUUAUGUCUUUGCCUGCACAGUUUUUGCUCCAACAUAGCCCGCCAUGAUGAUAGCACUAUCAAUAAUUAAGACAUAAAGAAAGGCUAUCCUAGCUAGGUAUUAUCAUUGGAGUAAACCAACAACACCAUAAGUAAAGUAGCAGACCAAAUUUUUUCUAGAAUUGAUGUCUUAACAUGUUUAAGUAGCGAAAAGAUUACAACACAUUGGAUGUGUUAACACAUCCAUAAGCUAAUGACUCCCUCUCCGGAUCACUACAUCAUUCUUAAUGUAUUCAACAAUGCAGCAGCAAUUAAAAGUCCUUGGAAAAUGCCAAGCUACUACAAUGACAUAACGAAAAACUAUAUCUCACCUUACCCCCUUGUUGGCAUAGACUGCAUAUCCGCCCUUGUUCGGGGUGAAUCAUAAUCCUGAACUCAAUUAUCAUCAUCGUUGAGAAUGUCAAACUUUAAAUCAACCAUGCAUGGAACAAAACUUAGAAAUUAAACAAUUAUCAAAGCUUAUGAAGAAUGCUAAACCCAACUAAUUCGAAACAUAAAGUAACCCAAAAGAGAGAAAACUUAUAAAUUUUACAUAAAUUAUAAUCCUUAACAGAAGGAUGGAACAAAGCAGGUUCAUUCUUGAGAAUAGAUGUAAUUUUGCACAUUGCAUAUAUGUAGAUUAAGGCUGGUGGUAACAUACCUUGUAAUUUGUACAAAUUAGGAUUUUCAUUCAAAGAACCAUAAUAUACACAAUUACAAAAACAGUGAUUCAAACUUGUUCUUCUCUUAAGGAAAUUACUCACAGUUGAAAUUCUGAAUGGACGAAGUUUUGGCAUCCCUUUCUGACUAUAUUUGAUUAACCUUUUUUUAAUCCAAUGAGUGCCUUCAUGAGAGAGAGAGAGAGAGAGAGAGGAAUAUUAGGUGAAAUGUAUUGCCAAAUCACACAGAGAUCAAAAUCUUGAAUAUAUAUGUUUAACCAUAUCAAAGUGAGUGUGUGAAAGGGUGUAGUCUGCAGAAAGGGCAACAUUUUCACUGCUAGAAAGUUGGAAACUAAACUUUUACACAGAUAUUGGAUUUUAUUAAUUCCCUCCGCGAAUUGAAAAGCAAAUUGUUCGAGUAAUGCAGGUAAAUUCGAUAUACAUAUGCGUUGAUCUAUGUAAGACAGUUAUAAGUUAUAACUGUAUCGUCUUAACACAAAAAUGAUCAUAAAUGUAAGUGUCUGUAUUAUGGAAGUAAGGGACUUACAGCAAUUGCUAUGAGCUAUAACAGCAGUCACUCCAAGUACCCUAUUAUGGAAGUAAGGGACUUAUAUCAAUUGCUAUGAGCUCUACCAGCAGUCUCUCAAAGUGGUGCAACGGCUAAAAUUAUAAAUAAAAAGUAAUUUAAACAAUUUAACUUAAUAAAAUAUUGUAAUUUAAACAAUGCCUAUAUAUUCAAACAUCCCAAAACAGGAAUGAACUUCCAAAAAACAUGCGCAUGAAAAUAAACGGCAUUACUCACCCAUUGAGUUGGACCAUCAAACUGGAGCGUAAGAAGGAUCAUCAUGUACCUAUGAAACCCAAAGGAAACUUUUAGCAACCCCAAAGCUUGUAUGCAAGCGUGAAUAAGUAUGCGUGUAUGAAUCUAUUCAUAGUGAAGAAGGCUACCUUAAGAAAUAUUUGCAUCUGCAGCUUCAUAUGGCCAUACAACAAAAAGCAUCGCAUAUGAUAACAAACCCCAGCUGCACCACAAAAGGAAUAUGAUCUUCCUCUCAACUUGUAUUUGCAGUUGUUACUGUAACAUCUGCAGACAGCAUACAUAAGCACUGAUUCGAAAAUUCUAAAGGAAAAAAAGUCCUUAUUCGAUAAUGCACCAAAUCCUAUCCGAAAACCAAGGGGGUGCCAUAUCCCUAGAUUAACAGAGCAUCUUUCUUUGUUCCAAAACAAAUUGCAAUUGGCUUUGGUAAAGUAGAAAGAUUACCAGAUACCGACUCUGUUCCAUUAUUCGACUGUCCUUUUAGUUCUGUCUCUCAACAUGGGAAAUACAAUAAGACAGUAAAAACAAAAGUUAGUGAUGCUAUUACAUAGUGAAAGAAAAUAAGACAUUCACAUAUUGAUAGCUAUUUACUGUCCUUUCUCAUCAUAAUCUUGGCCCAUAUAUAUAUAUAUAUAUAUUGAAUUUUGAAAGCAAUGAGAGAAAUAUACCUUUGGGGCGUCACUGCCAGAAGGGUGAGUGAGGGAUCUAAGAUGUUUGAGAGCAGAAAUUUUUAAGUAAUUUGUGCGAAAAAGUUGAAGAGCUUCGAACAGAGUGGAGUGGGUUGGCCUGGGCUAAAAUAAAGAGGAUGAACUCUAGAAAGUAGAAAAUGUUGUGUUCAACCAAACUCAAAAGUAAAGAAACCAUACAAUUAACAUAUAAAUAAGUUUUAUAUACCAAUGAUUACAUGUACGUUGUUUGAGAAGGUAAAUUAGCAACAUAUACAGUGAUCAAAAGAUUAACAGCAAUAAACUGCUCAUUAUUCAAAAUAUACAAGAAAGUUGUCAUUCACAUGAUCCAAAUGGUAGAGGACAAAACAGAAGGAAGCAAAUAUUAUAGCAGCAUAAGUUGAAUAAUUGCAGCAAGUAAACAAAUAGAAAGGCUAGCUAGAUUACACAAUCCAGUUCUAGGUCAGACUAACCAUGUUAGCCAUCCGCCCACCACCAUCACCGUCGGCUUCUUAUUAAAAAUGUAGAAUAGAAGACUCAAAAACUGGAAAUGAAAGUAGGUAACAUUGAGUUUUAAUAACCAAAAAGGGACACUGUUUAAGCAGCUCCACAACAGCAAUAAUACUUGGACGAUGAGCUGCAAAAACAGAAAAGAAAACACAAAUUAAACUAAAAAAAUAUAAAAUUUAACACUAAUCCAAGGAUUAAAUAUCAAAUAUAAAGUCAUUAGGAUUGGGACCUUUGCAUUGAGGAAUAUCUACUACAUUAUGAGUUCCCUCCUGAUAAAGCCCAAUCAGGGGGUUUUCCGAUGAGCCAAGAACGGCUAACUUUGCGUGACACCGCCAUCCCCACUAACACCAAACCAAGAUAAUAUCAAGAUCAAAACUAACCAAUACCAGAAAGAUUUUUUUAUUUAAAUUUUAAGAAAAGACCUAAACUUUACGAAAUUAAGGGGGAAAACAAAGUUAAGUAAAGCACCAAUUUGCAACUGUCAAAAGUGAAAUAUGAGACUGCAACUGCCUAGAAGAACUCCGUGGCCUCAUCGACGAUGACCGGAUGGUGGAGAUUGAACUGGUGCGUACACCUGGAGCACCUGAUUAUACACCGAACAUAGAACAAAAUUUAAAUCAAGUCGAACAAUAAUUGUGAGAAAAUAAACUAAAAGGGAUUUGAGCUGAGAGUUACGAUUCGAAGUGCGGCAAUGGAGGGUGCAGGUUAGCGGCGGCAGAGGAGGGGUUGAGCUUGGGCUCAGUGAGAGAGAAGGUAGUGCUAAAGGCACUAUUUGUCAGCCAAUCAUGUAAUAGGCACACCACUUUUCUAUAUAUGACAAAAAUUAGGAGUUCUCCAAACUAAAGCAUGAAAUUAGAUUCACCAGAGAAUUGGAAAUUGCACAUGAAAAAAAUAAUAUACAUCAUGCCAUUUGUGAUUUUGAAAGAAAAAAAGAAUACCUUCUUCAGGUCCGCUUUAGUAGGUGGAGGCUCUUGAUAGAAGAUUGGCAUUGGAGUCGUUUUACAAAUCAGUUUCUUCCUGAACAUCCUAAUGUCAGCUUCUAGAGUUUCCUGUAAAAGAACAGACAACAUUCAUAAUAAGAAAAUCUCUCUCUGCAAUCGUAGAAAUCCCUCGGGUUUCAGGAAGCAAAUGGAAAACGAAAUGCUUUUCUCCCGUAUCUCUCUCUCUCACCUCUGUCCCAUCUCUCUGUCUCCAAAUCGCAGAAAAGAAACCCUAAACAAAUCCCUGAAAUCCCUCGCCUAAAUCCUCCCACAUUUCUCUCGGACACCCCCCUCUUUCUCUCUGCAAACCCUAAACCAAAUCUCCUAAAUCCUAUCUUUGACACCCCACAUACAGCCAAGAUAUUAAAGCAAUCUCUAUAUAAUACUUUGGAACAAUGAAGAAAAAUGGUACUUACUUGUUCCUUGUCCAAAACCGUUGGUGCUGCCGCACAUUGUUAUCAAUUGUGGGUUGAUCAAAUCCUUCAUGGCUUAGACUGCAUGAAGAAUUAGAAACUAAAAGAUGAAUAUAUGCCGUAAAUCAUCAUAUAAAUGUAAGUGCAUUUAAAAAAAAAAAGGGAAUGACAAAAUUGAAUUCUAUUUCAUCAGUAUGUAACUGCAUGAAAAGUUACUUUGAAUGAAGACUCGAUCAAUUUCCCCAAAGUCAUUGUUAACUGAAAAUCAAUAUCAAACCCAUAAAUACCACAUUGAAUUUGACCAAGUUAAAGGAUAAAGGCACUCGCAUCAUCGUAUUACUCUUUGGGAAGAUCUUCUAAUAAUGGUUCUUCCUUUUUCUUGCUCUUCCUUAGAACUGCCAUAAAAACCCCAGAGAAGCAUACAAAUUCAGAAAAGAAAAGGUUCAAAACUGCCAUAAAAAAAAUCUAGAAAGCAUACAAAUUUAUCAGAAAGAAAAGUUCAAAUUACAAAUACCAAAUGAUGUGAGUAAGUAGUGAGAGGUUGUGUUAGGCACCUGAAACACGUUUUGGUUUCAAUUGAAAGGGCCAGAGACAACAUCCACAUUCUUUUUUCUUGGGUGAACUAACCAAAUCAUAUUAUAUACUAAAACGACAUAAAAAAUCAUUCACAAACUCACAACAAAAUAGAACAAAAAGAUUCACAAAAGAUUUGGGAGUUGAGACGCUAACAAAAACAUUUCUUUUCUAAACAAAUACACAACCGCUAAUCUGGGUUUGGUCAGUUUGACUAAAACGGUGCGCUAUUUUGCAUCUAAAUAUAGUAUAUCGCUUAAAUAAAAUUAAUAAAAAAUACACAUCCAAUGCUUUUAGUCUAAAGCUAGAAUUAGGAAUAACUGAGGAAGUUAAUGAAGGCAAAGCAGAGGGUAGGAAGCAGAACAUACCAAGAGACCAGUAGGCCAUCGGGGCCGGUCUGCCGAUGAACGCUGUGUACUGGUUGACAACGCCCAACGGAGUUGGCGCAGAAAAGAAGUAAAAGUCGAAACCACCCUCAAUGACCUUGUAGGUGAGAGAAGUCCCUCUGUAGAACACAUCCAUGCCAUUGCUGUUGAGCAGCAAAACGGAGUGCGCGUAAGCCUCGUUGCCCACAUUCCGGAGAUCCAUGUAAACUGGGUGGGACCCGUACAAAUCAGUGUUGAGAUUGAUCGCUGAGAAGUUAGUGGUGAAGAGGAUGUAUUUAUCGUUCGGGUAGAGCUUGAUCCCGUGCGGCUGAGAGUUCUCUUCGAGGCCGUACAAGGAGGAGUAUUUCGGCACUCGGGUGGAUAUCUUGAGGUCUAGUCCUUAAACACCAGUACUAGUCCAAUAAACCACUCCGCUUUUAUUGAUUUUCAAUUCAUGUUCAUUCGGGUCCCAAACAAGACUGAACGGCCCCAGAGCCGGGUUGUAGGUAUCUACAUAUGAUAUAAGUGCCCACGUGGCCAUCAUUGCGGUUGACACCUAACUUCAUACCCGGUAAAAAUGUGUAUCCAGGAUAAUCACUUCAGCCGAUCGAGGGUGAUUUGAGGUGUUUUCUAGCUGAAUUGGACUUCGACCCAAGUAUGAAAGUUGUUCCUCUUAUCGAGAUCUUCAUUCAUGUAAAAUUUGGGAAUUUUAGAAUUGUUGAAUUCUCCGGCGAGUCAGGGCUACCAGCCGCCACGUGUUUCGGCGCAUGGCCCUUUGGCCGCUGUCCCGUGGCGACUCGUGCGGUGAUGUAUGCAGGAAAACCUAAGGUUCCUCCUUAGGUUUUUCAAUGUACCAAACCCGAAUCCGCCGUCCUUUUUUCAAAAUUCUAACGUUUUCAUAGAGUUUUAUUAAACGACCUUUAAUUGUGUUUAGGUGCAUCGGUGGAGGUGACCUCAUUCUUGAUGGUUCGAGCGGCUUUCGGGCAAUGGAAAACUUGUGAGUGGACCCCUUCUAAACUUAUAUAUUGUUAUAAAAUAUUAGCCUAGCAUGCAUUCCAUAUUUCAUGAUUUGAAUAUGAUUUAUAAUAUGCUUUAUGGACUUUUAUAAUUAUGGUUUACGAAAUAGUUUGAUUUAUCGAAAUUACGUUUUAUUAGGUAUUGAAUUAUUGGAUUUGCAUAUAUGGAUUUCUAUGGUUUUCAAAUACGAUUUAUAUUACGGUUUUACGAACAUGAAUUAUUUUAUGGAUUUCAUGAAUACAAUUUAUCUUGGAUUUAUGAGAUGAGAAUUUGAGCUAGUGAGCUCCGGGUUUGAUAUAAGUUUUGAGAUAUGUUUUUGGUACUUAUCUAGUGGGUUAUCAUACGGCACAUCCGCACACCACGGGUAUAGAAUUGUAUGGCCAUAGGACACAGAUGAUGAGGAGGAGUAAGAUAUGAUAUAUUAUAUACCCCCAGUUCACUGUCGAAAGUAGUGUCAGAUAACUUCACUAGCCAUGGCUAGUGUCGGUAUGGAUGUUAUGCUAUUUCAUACAGCUUCACCUUCGGGUGAUAGACAGGUUAUUUAGCUUCACCUUCGGGGUGAUGGACAUGUACUACCUUCGGCCAACUAUGAUAGCCUUUGUUGAGUACUUCACUGACAAGAUUUACAAAUUUGCCUUCGGGCGACGGCAUUUUCAUUAUCAAGCAUUGGAUUUUACAUAUCUACCUUCUAAAUGGAUUUUCAUGGCAUGCUAGGGUUUUUCAUAAAGCCUAUAUGUAGUAUUAUAUAUGUUUUCAAAACAAGGGGUUAUUAUGUUCAUAAAUAAAAUGUUUUCCUAUUAUUAGUAUUAUUAAUAUAAACUUUGGUCCACUCACAUUUUCAGUUUUUGCGCCUCCACAGGAGUUAGGAUCGAGGCACAUGAUCCCGGCAUCAUGGCAUGUUGAUAUAGGUAUCCUUGAAUCUUCCCAGUGUAGAUAUCAUUCCCUUAUUCAUAUCUUUUUAUAGUGAUUCUUCCCUAUUAUUUCUAAUUAGUUGUAUGCUCUAAACACAUUCCUGCUUUGGUAUAAUCGUUAUAACUACUUAUCUUGUAAUUGUUUGCAUGUUUAAAAUGGUUUCGUCACCCUUGGGCGUGGGCUAGCACGUGCCUACCCUGGUAUGUUGGGAUAUCGGGGUUGGGGCAUGUCAAAGAUAGAGAGUGAAUUUCUAGCAGAUUCAAUGGUUGUCUACAUUUUAAAAAGAGCUUGCCGAAAAGAUUGAUUCAGAUGAAAUAACAAAGGAUUUCAAUUCCAUUAAGGAUUGAAGGGCACAACUUGAAUAGGUAUUUUUCUUUUUAUUUGUUAUGUUGUUAUGACAGGAUUGACGAUGUAUGUUUAUUUAUAUUGUAAGUUGCAACUUUAAAGGUUUUCUUUGUUAAAUCUAGUUGAAACUUGAUUCAUUUAGAGUUAAAUUUCUUACUUCAAAUUGUUGCUUUUAGGCUUAUUAUUGUGUAACUUUAUGCAAGCAACAAAAAAUUUUAACCAUUUGAUUUUGUACUAAUAAUUUUAGCUUAGCAUGCCACCAAAUAAUUCAUGGCUCCGCUAUAGAAAUCUUAGCAUGUGCAAUUUCAAAGUCUCGGUUGCCAAGUCUCCCCAGGCUGUUCAGCACCCAUUCUGAAUCUUGAUCGAGAUCUAGAGCAGUGCAAGUCAAGGAGUCUUCAUUCUCAUUUGAAACAAUGCUAAAAUUAUACCUCAGCUUGGACUCCUUGGGCAAAAUAUACCCAAAUGUAUUAGUACUACUUGUGGAUACACCACUAGUCCAAAAAAAUCACCUCUCCUUUCUUAAUCUUCAAUUGGUGAGGGUCCCAAUCAAGCGUGAAAGGCCCCGGCGCACGGUUGGCUUUAGUUUCCCAUGAUGAAAUCGACGAAACAUGGCCGUUUGUACGGUUGACACCCAAUUUCAUGCCCGGUAAAAAGGUGUCAACUGGUAAUCAAAGCUUUACGUUCACUUCUUCUUGUACAAAAUUUCCCGAAUCCAAAAGGAUAGCCACAACAGUAGCAAUACUGUACUUAUGUUGGUAGACCUAGUAGUUUGUGGAGCUGAGAAAAACGCAAUUGGAUUAGGAUCCCCCCCGCAUAAUUUUCAAGGUUUUAUUCCUGUCCAAGGCAAGAGUGCGUACAAAAUAGGGGCUUUACGGUUGCAAAUCCAAGCAAUGUUGCCAUCGGCCUUGUUGCUCUGGAUAGAUACGUAGCUGGUGCUUUUGGAACUGUCGUCGUGUACACAGGAACUGAAACUGAACUUCUCCGAUGCAGAGACCAAAGAACUUGAGGAGUUGAGAGUGUCUCCUGCUGGUUUCAGUGUGUCCCUUGCACUUGCAGCAUUGUGACAGGUCCACAGUCAGCAUGCAAAAAUGAUUAAGUUGAUUAUUGCCAUGAUUAAUUAAUGACCAUAACAUGAAGUUUAAUUUCUCCAUAUGAUGAGGAAGAAAGACAUGAAAUCCAUCACCAGAACAUGAUUAAGAAUUUAAUCAAGCAACGCGUCUUAGUUAAACCGUUACAAUCUUUGUACAAGGCAUUUAUAAAUUAAAAAAAAAGGGAAUAAAGUAAUAAUUACAAGUUUUACACAAGUGACCAUUUAUUACAAUGGUGGAAAGGUGUUAAGCUUUUGCAUGACGGUGUGAGUUCGAACCUCGUCGGUAGUUAAUCUAACUUAUAAUCUAAUAAAAUCUAUUUUUUGACCAAAAAAAAAUAAUUACAAGUUUUACUAAAAAUUUAGGGGUGUGAUAUCCACACACCCCUUUUUACUUCUCUCACACAUUUUUGAUUUCGACCGUCAAAUCGGAUGAGUUGAAGAAGAUCAACGGACAGAAAUUAACAAGGGAUGUGUGAGAAGUAAAAAGGGGUGUGUGGAUAGCACACCCCAAAAUUUACCGGAAGACUUGAUCACCCAUUUGUAUGCUGACAACGGUGACUAGAUUCACAACCUCUUUCCCACGUAAAUCACAUCAUCCAAUUUUAUUUUUCUUACAACAUAUCACGCAUCUGUCAUAUGCAAGACUUUUUUUUUUGUAUAACAUGAAAAAGAAGACUUUUUUGGAAUAUGGAGAGUGAAAUUGCAGCGGAAGCAUCCUAGAUUUUUGAUCGAAUAUUGAGUUUGGUUUGAUGACAGACUUCCUGGAUCAAACACACCCUAAAAAAUAUAUAUAAAAAACCAAUAAGGUCAUGUGAUACGACAUCAUUUCAAGAGGAAAGGUAAAAACAAUCUAGUUUCUAUACUAGGAAGAUUCACUCGAACAAAUUCUUGGAAACUAUGACUCAAACAAAAUUCUAGGAAUUCAGUAUUUUUAACAAAUGAUAAGCGUUUAAGAUAUAUUCUUUAUAAUAUUAGAGAAAUCGAACGGUUGAUGUAUAACUCGCAAAGUGGUUGUAGCUCAAGUAAUUUUACUCCCCAAUUUUACAUAAAACAUAAAAUAAAAACAAAUCCUAAUUUACAUGGUAAUUUUUUUUCAUAGCUAGGGACAACUUCGACUAUGGUAAUGCAAUUAAUAUACACUAGUUUUGGAUGGAGAAGUUUCAAGAUUGAGUAUGGGAUGGGGAGGGGCGAGAGACUUGGAUGGAGAGGUGAGGUUUUAUGAGUUAAACAGUGAUGCAAGGAUGUAUUACUUAAAACUUUAGAGACCGUAUGUUGGGCUAUAUAUAAUAUACGUUCCAUGGAUAAUUGUUUAACUCAUAAACGUUUUGAGUGUUUCUAACAUAUGCUUAUCAAAAGCCUUCUCGUUCCAUCAAACAAUACGAAAAUUUUCAAUUGAAUGAAAGACAUACUAUUUUAUAUAUCACAGUACUUCAUGGAUCAUCAUCAUCACAUAUCCUUAAUUCAAAGGUAAUAAAUGAGCAUCUAGUUUUAUUUUAAUUUUAUUUUAUAUAGGGACUACAGAAGCAAGCACCCUCUGUAAAUUAAACUCUAAAACUUCUCAAGUAUCUUGAAAGGUGCCAAAAGCCAUCAGCCAACUCCAGUUGAUGCAUAACCUCCUACAUUUACAAAAACAGCGUCGCCGUUAAUUUAUUGACUUCUUCCCAGGACACAUACCAAUUUGCGAAAGUGGUUUGACUGAUGCUAAUUAGUCGAGUAAAGUACAGUCUUUUCAAUUAAGCAGAUGCAAAACACUUAGUUGAGGCACUACAAAUAUGAUUUUUACCUUUAAUUAACGCGCUUCAAAAUCUGAACUGGACAUGUAGUUUGCUGAAGCAACAGUUUCAAGUUGCUGAUUCCCACUUAUACCAGCCUCCACCGUCCUCCUUCCAACAAAAAAUGCUGGCUUUGUUGGUGAUGCUAAUCGAAAGCUUUCAUUUGUCAACAUAGAUAUGACAUCUGACAUGGUAGGGCGAUCUGCUGCAUUUUCUUCUACGCAAAGCAGACCGACAUGGAUGCAUCUUAACAGUUGCUCUUUAAUAAACGAAUUUCCUAAUGUUGGAUCCGUUAAUUCUAGCCCUGCACCUUUUUUCCAUAACUCCCAUGCCUGAAGAACAAGGAUUGCAUUUCAUUCUAAAGAAGAAAAAUAUGAUUAUAAAUUUUAAGAGAGAGAUUUGUUUGUCAUACAUAUCCUACUAAAUUGAGUGCGCGAUCGUCAUUGUAAAAGCUGUUGUUUUUCCUUCCACUUAUGAUUUCAAGCAUCAAUACCCCGAAACUGUAGACAUCAGACUUUACAGAAAUAAUUCCCCCCACGGACUCUGGAGGCAUGUAACCACUGCACGAAAUGAAAAAGAAAAUUAGUCAGUAUACUUAUCUGGAAAAAUGCGUGUUUAGCAGUCAAAAGGGGAGGACCACGUCAAUGUGAUGCAGAAAUACUUACAGUGUCCCCACAACCUUUCUAGUGUUUGCUUCCAAUUCAUUUUGGGUGAAAAUCCUUGCCAUACCAAAAUCUGAAAUUUUUGGGUUCAUGUUUUCAUCAAGUAGUAUGUUACUAGCUUUUACAUCUCUAUGAAUUACUUUCUUUCUUGAGUAUUUGUGCAGAUAAAGCAACCCUUGAGCAAUUCCUUCGAGAAUGCUAAAACGCUUCUUCCAAUCUAGUAGUAGACCUCUGAUUGGAUCUGUCCAAUAUGUAGAGUUAAGUAGGACUAAUAUUAAUUAAUAGUAGUACUCUAUGAACUUUGACAGUAAAAUAAAAAUCAGAUAGUAAAUUUAACAAAUGAAAUCAAGUAUCUUGGUUCCUCACCAAAUAAAAAGUGGUCCAAACUUUUGUUCUGCAGAUACUCAUAUAUCAACAUCAUUUCUUCACCAUGAAUGCAAAAUCCGAAAAGGUGAACCAGGUUUGUAUGUUUGAGUUCAUAUAUAAGUAUCAGUUCAUUCUUGAAUUCUGAUGUUCCUUGCCCUGAACAUUUCGAAAGCCUCUUCACAGCUAUUUCUUGUCCCGUCGCCAAUUUCCCCUGAAUUGAUAAUCCAUAUCAUGUUUUUGCUGUCAUCUUUAGGCAAAUGAAGCUAAUUCCAUUUUUUUUCUUACAGCUUUUGAAUUAGAAGCAGAAAUAUUUUUUUUUCAAAAUGUUACCUUAUAAACCGGUCCAAACCCUCCUUGUCCUAGCUUGUUUUCUUCAGCGAAGUUUCUUGUGGCAGCCACGAUGGAUGAAUAGCUAAAAACGCUAAAAUCAUGAUGUCGCUUAGAUUUCAUGAAGAUAAGCAUUUCGUUCUCAAUCUCUGGCCAGUUCUCACCUAUACAGAUCAAUUAUAAGAAAUUAAAGUUUCAAUGGAGACAACAAUUGUCAAAGAUGUGAUUAAUAAUCCUGUCUUACUGGUGCACAUGAUUUAAAGAAAUAUACCAGCUGAUGCAAGGGCUGAUCUUCUUCGUCGGAGUAGAUAGUACGCGGUGCAAAGCACUAGAGCAGCAGCUAUAGAAAUGCCAAUCCAAACCCAUUUAUCUGCUGCAUCAUAAACAAUUAGCUAGCAACAUAUGCAAUAAGUGUAACACACACGCACAUGUACGCAUUAAUUGUCUUCAAUUUUUGGAUGAACUAGGUCUUGCAGGUUUCUUCCGGAAAACGAAGAAAAAUUCGAGACAGAGAGCAGAACUUAAGACAACAAUAACAAAGAUAGAGGUACCUAAUAAUACUGAUUCCACGCGUGUCACAGAUUUCCGGCUCAAAUCGGGUUUGCAGCCUCGGUAUAUAUCCUUCGGAUCAAGAAAAGAAAACCCUUUUGGGCAUUCGCAGGUUGGCCUUUUAUCUGGUUUGAGCAUACAGGUACUGUUGUAACCGCAAACACCAACGCCCAGUCGUAGGCAAAUAUCAUCCGGCAUAUACACCAGAGGACUAAUCCAACUUGCAUUUCCCGUGAAGUUUUUCGGGUGAGAAUAUAAAGCGAAAAUCCCAUCAAAAUCAAGAGUUGCCCUUAUGUAGUUGUCCCUCACCGACACUCCCUCUGUCCCCUUAAGAGGAACUCUUCCAUCAUUUUCUCUUAGAACAAACAUGUCCCCUGAGCUGCUGAACACCAAUCGUUUGCCUUGACUACCUGGCACGUUCCCUGAGGUGGUCUUCGUGGAGAAGUAAGGGAUGUUGGCAUUAUCUGUUGUGACGGAAAUGAGCACGAGGUUUCCAUCACCUUGCAAGCUCAGCUGGAACCGCCCUUUUGUGUAGUUAGUCUCCGAUUGUCUACACGAAAGCGUCCCGUUUCUCUCAAUUGUCUGUCCAGGCAAAACGGUGUCUGUAGGACUGCUGAAGGUCUCCCACAAGCUCCCCGAGUUUUGGUGUUGAAGGACAAAGUUUCCGGUGUCAUUCAUGACCCCGUUCGCAACAGUCCCCAAGGUUAUUUCGGAUUUCCAUAUCUCUCCACCCUGAGGAUUGUUAAGAACUAGUCCACUGUUGGCAGUCAAGUUCAGAACUGAUCCCCCAGGUGCAACCAUGGGGUUGUUACCGUCAUAUGCAUACCAAACUACGGUUUUGUCUGGGAUUUUCGCAUACCAUAUCGAAAGCAAGAAACGAUCAUUGUUUCCGAGGGGCGAAAAUCCAAACGCGAAAUCACCGGAUGGAGAAAGCCAUGAU